rnacentral:lncRNA from 1 species
CACGACCUACCUAAACACUCAAGUCUCUAGUCCAGGUUUAUCGCCUAUUCGGGUUCCAUCGCGAGGAGAUCCGGCCGGAGUUUCGCUCACAGCCCCAAACGAUGUGUGCAGGGUUCCCGAGACACCAAACAGGCGCUCGGUACACCAGGCCACGGUGUAUCUACGGCAUCAUAGCCCACCCCUACGGUCAGUGCUACGCACGGCCUCCAACACAUAUCCUACAAACACCAGAAACUAGUUGCAACUCUUGGACAAAGAACAAGGGUGAUUAAGAAGCUGAGAGGGUCCAUUGGUUUCGGGCCCAAUGCAUGGUAGUAUAUGUUUCAUGGAUCACAAACACAAAACUCAGCUCCUGAGUACGGCUUCAGUGAGACAACCCACCAUGUACUCCUACAUGGCUUCUCACCGCUUCCUUUACCAAAUCGUGUUCACACACUUAGGUCGCACACAGUAGGACAUGUUCACACACCUCUGAUUCAUCCCGGAUGAAUCAGACCUGACACAACUCUAAGCAAUAGCAGGCAUGACAAACAAGCAUGAAUGAGUAGGCACAUCAGGGCUCAAACAACUCCUACUCAUGCUAGUGGGUUUCAUCUAUUUACUGUGGCAAUGACAGGUCAUGCAGAGGAUAAAGGGGUUCAGCUACCGCAGCAAGUAACAGAUGAAUCGUUGUUGUCCUAAUGCAGUAAAAGAGAGUAGGAGCGAGAGAGUGGGAUUGUAUCGGAAUGAACAAGGGGGUUUUGCUUGCCUGGCACUUCUGAAGAUAGUAUAUUUCUUCAUUGGUGUCAUCGAUCACAUCGUCGGUACACGUCUUACUGAGAGGGGACAAGCACCGACAAGCAAAGAAGAAGCACAAUCAAAGCAAUGCACAAUAUGAUGCAUGAUCAUGACAUGGCAAUAUGCUGUGGUUUUAGCUAAUGCAACUAGCAGCAAGUUAAAUGAAGUUGGUUUGGACCCUAGAUUCAAAUUCAAACUCCACAUGAGGCAUUUCAAAUGCCAUUUAUUCAAUUUGUUGUAUACAGCAGAUUUAAGUUGUUCAAACAUGCAUGAAAAUGGUACAGAUGGAUAGAUUGGAUUUUUCUGAUCAUUUUUCAUAUAUAAUUUAUUCCAAUCUGAGUUAUAGAUUAUUUUCUAUGAAUUUUUUGAAGUUUGCUACAUUUUCUGGAAUUUCCUAUAUAAGAAUAAAUCCAGUAAAUGCUUUAUUGCGUCAGCAGUGCAUCAGGGUGACGUUAGCGGUCAACGGGGCUGGUCCAGGUCAAACUGACCUGUGGGCCCUGCGUGUCAGUAGUUAGUUUAACUAACUAAUAUUAGUUAGUGCUAACCUAAAUUUAUUAGCAGAGCGGGCCCCACUUGUCAUUGACUCAGGGGGGAGUCAACCUGGGCCCACCUAGUCAAGGUCAACGGGUCAAACCCGCCGGCGUCAUGACGCCGGCGAGGCCAGACGCGGCGGUGCGCUGCGGGAUCCGCCUACAGGGCGCCGUUUGGCGCGUGACGCACAGCUAUGGGAUGCGGACGCUCGUCCGCAUCCAAUCGUGGUGGUGGCGCGACCGGAGAGUGGCCGGAGUGGUGCCGGCAACGAGCUCGGCCGCGGCCGAAGCUCGGUUGCAAGUGGGGAUGGGGCUGCGGUGCACAAACGAGCGCGGCGAGGUGCCAUGGAGGCUCUACGCAAUGCGGGGAGCGCGUUGGGCGCAUACCCGGCACCAAAUGGUCACCGGAGCAUCACCGCCGACGAGUGCGGGCGGCGGCUCGUCCCGGUGAGUGCGGUGUGGUUGCUACGGUGCGCGGCAGAGCGAACGGAGAGGGGGAGGAUAGGCAGAAGCUCACGGUGAUUGUCAUGGGGUGAACAGUGAGCUCGGGGGAUGACCGGAGCAAACGGGGCGGCGGAGGCGAUCUCGGCGGCCGCAGGUUGAAGACAACAACGGUGAAGACGAAACGGAGCUUCCCGGCUCACUUGGCGCGGUGAGGAGGAGGAGAAGGUCGAGGCGGAGCUCUGGGAUGCGUCGGGAGGUGGGGCAGUGGCUGUGGGCGUGGGGUUACGAUGGCGCGUCCAUGGAGGCUUCGGCCAUGGUGGGGAACGGGCGAGGGAGAGGCGUUGGGGGCGAAUGGAGGGGUCCAGGGGGUCGGGGCGACGACGUGGAGGUCGUCCAGACGUCCAGGGGCACGAGCGGCAAGCAGGUGGCGCUGUGGCGAGCUUGCGUUCGGCGGCGUCACCUCUGUGCCUGCCUGGCGAGGACGAAGCAGCUGGCUGGCAUGGGCCAGCACAGUGUUGGGCCUACCAAGUGGGCUGCCAGGUGGGCUGCGGCCAGGUAAGUCCUCUGCUCUCUGCUUUAAAUUAUGUUUUUCUAUUUUUCUAUAAGUUUGUGGCUUUAUUAAAAAUACUUAAACAGAUCCAAAAAUCAUGAAACUAAUCAUGGCUACUGUUUAGAAUAUAUCCAACAGAAAACAUUUUAGUUUAUGAUUAUUUGAGCAUUUAAAAUGUUUUAUAGUAUUUAAAUGCCCAAAUUAAAAUACCAUAUGAUUUAGUUCAGAGCCAACUAUGUCAUGGAGAAAUGUGCAACACCUCUGGUUACUGUUUCCAACAUUUUCCAGAAAUGAUGAACAUUUUCGAAAGCCAUUUGGAAUCACUGAAAUUAUUUUAGUUGAACCUAGUGAAUUCCUUUGAUGCUAGGGUUUAGGCAAUCCCUAUUUCAAGUUUCAAAAGAAUUUAAACAUGAUGCAACACAUGACUAGCUAUCUCAGUGCAUACCAGAACUUGGGAUGUGACAACUCACCCCCACUAAACAAGAAUCUCGUCCUGAGAUUCAAGACGUGAGGUAAGAAGACAAAGGGGACACUAAGCCAGCUCAAACUUCAUGAUCCAAAUGUCCUUCUCGAGGAUGCUGAUUCAGUGCUCCAAUUAAUCUUGACGUCUUUGCUUUUGAGAUCUGCAUCCAACACGAGGACAGAGACACUCUACAAGGAUGGAUCAUCUUAAUGAUCACAAGAUCAACUCACGGAAUGAGAUGUAGAACACCUCUUGAGUUGAGAGGCAAAACACACAUCAUGAAGGACGGAAGAAACAAUUUGAUGAGGUUUCAAAGUAGCGAGGAAAAUAGUUGCCAUGAUAACACAACGAGACACCUUAGGGAUGGUGACUCGUAGAUAUAUCCCCUUAAGUGGCAAAAGAUUUACCUUUGAUUCAGAGAUCAUUGAAACUCUAUACCAGCCUAAGGCAAAUCACAAUCGAUCAUUUGAAGGAGUCCGAAAGAAUGACAUUCUCGGGCCAGAAUGGAUGAUGUGGACUACCUUGUUGAAGACAACACAAGGGAUGAUUUUGCUUAUCAUCGGAAAUGGAUGGGACCCAAGAUAGGAUGGCACAAUGACGGUGCAAGCUGGGAACGAAAGACAAAUGCUGGGAAUGAUUCUAGUAACUGGGGAGAAACUCAAUAGCAGAGAGUGAUUCCACUAUUGGAAUGGUUAUAGCAUAACCGAGAAACUGAGAACAAUCCAAGUUAGUAACUAUGAUAGCACCUAAUGCUUGUGCGUGCUUUCAAGAACUUGAGCAUUUCCAUAAUCAUCAAGGUUUUACCAACAUCCGUGUCAAGGGUGCUGACAACACAACACUCUACCAUGAUGAAUAGUGAAGGACGAUGCAGAUGCAAAGGAAGAUAACACUUUCUCAGAUUUCACCUUAGCGAGACCAAGGGGACAAAAUCUGGAUGAUCGACUGAGAGACAUUUAGCACUCCGCUUCUAAUAUUCUCCUUGAUGUACUAGCGUAACCCAUUCAUAGAUAUGGUUUGGUAUCUAGAGCAUCAAGUAAAGGUCGGACUUUGGGAGCACAAAAAUCCAUAAGGGACAACUAAGGAGUAAAUCCUGCGAAAUCCCUAUGGGGAGGUGGCCAACUUUCUCAAUCAAGAUACUACAAUAACAGGUCUUCCGGUUGGGUGUGUUGGCCACGACAUCCACUUAACCGGUUACAGUGAGACCAAUAUUAUAAUUCUUGGGAAACAUUUCAACCAUCAUAUCUGCCUGAGAUUCAGAUCUGGUUGGUGUCAGAAUAAUCUAGACUCAUCAAGUCUAGAAAGAAGAAUGAAAGUUUGCAACACAAAUCGACGAGACAACGUUGCGAGAUUCUCGGGAAAUGGACUACGAUAGUAAGCUCCAAAACAUGAGCUGGUUCUGCUACACACAUGUGAACACGCUGUCUCAGACAAACAUGACCACGUGGUAGUCUUAUAAUAAAACCCUACCGAGUUCAGGUGAGGGAACCAUCAACAAGGAUAUCGAAGUCCUUGUAUAAGUCUUGCUCUUAAGAAGAGACUUCUUCUCCUUGAACAAAUCAAUCAGUGGCUUGGUGUGCCAGGAAUACAUAUAGAAUGAAGGUUGCAAGUCUUCGAACCGUAGAAUACUUCGCACGUAUGCAUCACUGAUUUGGGACGAUUCCAAAGGAAGCAAUAUUGACUUUCUCGAACCUACGGCGGCAACUUGCAUCAAAUGCACAUGAACUAGAGGAACUCACUUCUUACAUCCGAACAUAUGCUUCAUGAGCUAGCAUGAACAAAUGCUUUAAAAAGUUUCCAACACCAGCUUAAUGUUCAACAAAACUAUGGAGAAGAAAAGGAUGUUGUGGAUGGGCUCAACAGCAAUUCAUCCAGAUUCCCAUGGAGAUGGAAUUCCAUAACUAUGUGAACAAGGUGAUGGUAUUGGUCAGACCCAAAAGAUAUAAUGGUGUAUGCUCGAGGAAAAUUCACGAGUAAGACAACAUUACGAACAUCAUUGGUUCUGAUUUGAUUUGAGGGUAGCCCAUACUCAAAUCAAAGUUUUAGCAAGAAAAUAGCUCCAACAACUGGUCACGAGGAUCAAUCGAUGAAGAUACCAUCUUUCUUCAACACACACACAAAAACAUCCCUUUGGGAUGAGCUAAGUCGGACAAGCUUUUAUCUUCCAACUCUCUAAGUUGUUGUUUAGCUUAACCAACUACCUCAGGGGUAUCCAACACGAAAUCUUGGAGAAAGGGUGGUUUAUUAGAAACCAACUUGAUCACGAACUCAACAUAGCGGUCAGGUGACAACCUAGCCAUACUUCCGAGAAGAUAUUCGGAACAUCAUGAACCACCGAUAUGUAACUAGGCUCGAGAACAAUCUUGCUUUUCAGGCAAGACGAUGUGAUCGAAUAAGCAAGGAUUGACACUAUCCUAACUCAUUGAUCGAAGAGUGCACUAGAAGAUAAGGACUAGGUAGCACAAUCUAUCUUAGAAUGAUGAUUCAAGAACCAACACGCUAAGAAUGAAAUUAUUGUCCUUUAACUACCAAGCAACAAAGUUGCUAGGAGUAUUGAUUUCACACAUCACGAUUCACUUGUCGGCACUCCGGUUGUGACAACACGGAACCGAGGAAUGAAUAAUGAUGGCGAGAAGUAUCACUACGUCAAGAAUUCACAAGAGAUAGUGCAAUUCUCAUGACAAUCCCGACAUAAAGUGGGUAAUACUUCAGGGUAGAAUAGAACAAAAGCUGGGUUGGCAUUUUGAUCUGCGAGGUACAACUACUUUGACCCAAUCCUAGAAAUGGAUGAGGUACUGGAGUUUGUUUCUCCUAGUCAUUCCGGGAUAGAAUGGCUUGACGGACCACAAGAAUAAUAAGCUUCGAUAACACGGAUGCACAAUUACUCCUGACUAUCACUUGAUAGAUGGAGGUCAGGAUAAAACUAAAGAGGGACAACUCAAAAGAACAUCCGAUUUUCUAGGUUGUGGAUGCAUAGAUUAGUAUGUCAAGCAAGCUCAAGAUUUCUUCCAGAUAAUUCAUGCAGAAAGGUAGAACUGGCAGAGUCACAAUAUAGCAUGGAGAACUCAUCGAGAGCACUCCCGUUGUGAUCCUUUGAUCCAACAAACUUCUGCCAUAAGUGGUUCAUAGUAUUUGGAAGAAGGAAAUACCACGGACCUCAAGGACUAUCGCAAAGGUUACUGAGGGAGUCCUGGACUAGGGUGUGUCCGGAUAGCCGAACUAUCACUAUCGGCCGGACUCCAAGACUAUGAAGAUACAAGAUUGAAGACUUCGUCCCGUGUCCGGAUGGGACUUUCCUUGGCGUGGAAGGCAAGCUUGGCAAUACGGAUAUGUAGAUCUCCUACCAUUGUAACUGACUCUGUGUAACCCUAGCCCUCUCCGGUGUAUAUAUAAACCAGAGGGUUUUAGUCCGUAGGACACAACAACAACAACAAUCAUACCAUAGGCUAGCUUCUAGGGUUUAGCCUCCUUGAUCUCGUGGUAGAUCCACUCUUGUACUACCCAUAUCAUCCAUAUCAAUCAAGCAGGAGUAGGGUUUUACCUCCAUCGAGAGGGACCAAACCUGGGUAAAAACAUCGUGUCCCUUGUCUCCUGUUACCAUCCGCCUGGACGCACAGUUCGGGACCCCCUACCCGAGAUCCGCCGGUUUUCACACCGACAUUGGUGCUUUCAUUGAGAGUUCCUUUGUGCCGUCGCAAUCAGGAAGGAUGCCUCCUCCCGUCUUUAAAGACGGUACUAUUGCCAAGGGAGCUUUGGCCACCGGCCAAACUGUCUGGCUAGGUGGUUUUCUUAUGACCGCCUGUUCGGCCGCCGCUCCGAUGAUGACCUCUCGGGUCAUCAAAAGCGAUCUUCACGUCAACUCGGAAUUCGCCGAGCAGCUGGAUCCGAUGGAGCUCUCUUCCGUAAACGAGCUCUUGGAUCGCAUCGCCGCCUUGGGAGUCGCUACAGACUACGGUCAGAUUGGGCUUAAAACCGAUCUGAGAGAGAUUAACUCUUCCCAGGAUACCCACCAUGUUGUGGUGGUAGAGGAACAAUGCCGCGACUCUUCUUCUAUAUUAAAAACCAGUUAUGUACGGACUCCUGAUCUCUCCAUGUCGGAUUCCCGCGGAGGGAUGGACGUUAAUCAAGUACUGAACCUAAAGUCAGGCAACGGACCAGACUCGUUGGACAACGUCGAGCAAUCCAAACUUCCAAAUUCGGAAACUUUUCGGCCCUUGAGCCUCAAGUUGGGCAGGGAUCCGGACUUAGUUCCACCCGCCCACCCAAACAUAAGCGAUCUAUCUCAAAUCCGGCAAGAGCCCUCGAAGACAGUACAUCAUUACUGGGCCAGAUUCCUCCUGGUUAUGGACAGGAUAAAGGACUGCCGCGAGGAAAGCGCAAUCGCAAUUUUCCGCAACUAUUUCAUGGACAAGGGAAUCACUAAUGCCAUAAGUCACCGCGAAAUUACUCGCUUCGCCGACCUGGUGUCAAUAGUAUGAAAGUACUGUGCGAUGGAGAGCACCUGGAAAAUCAAAACUAUGUUUUGGGACAAUCCGGCUCCAAACACAACCCUAGUCCGAAACAAAAGGGUGCAUCAUGCUCAAGCACCCGGGACAAAAACCAAAAAGCAAAAACCCCCUAAAGGGCAUGGAACCGUACUGGAGGUACGGCUCAGCGGACCCUGUAAAAGCCAUAGUACAGAGGGCGCCACUCCAACACACAGCCUUUGAGCAUGUUGGAUACUACGGCAGGUGGCCAAAAGUGGUGAAGAGCUUCUAGCCCUAGAGAACCAGACCAACAGUACCAGUACGGUAUUAACAAUCAUCGAGACUUUCGCAUCAAAUAAUAUGCGGAAACGAACAAUCCGCAGCCUCGCCGAAGUCUACCAAGUAGCAACAACAAAUCCAUGGAGCGACACGGCUAUCACCUUCAAUGCCAGCGACGAACCUAAAUUCCGAAUAGCCCGAGCACCAGCCGCAUUGGUCCUCAGUGCAAUAGUGGACGGCUUUCGUCUUACCAAGGUACUCAUGGAUGGCGGAAGCGGAUUAAACCUCAUCUACGAGGAAACCCUUCGAAAAAUGGAAAUAGACUGGAGCCGCAUUGAGCGAAGCAGCACAACCUUCAGAGGAAUAAUCCCUAGUCGGGAAGUACGCUGCACAGGAAAAAUUACACUAGAUGUGGUGUUCGGCUCGCCGGACAAUUACAGGUCCGAGGAGGUCAUAUUCCAGGUGGCCCCGUUCAGCAGCGGAUAUCACGCUUUACUAGGGCGAGAGGCAUUCACAAUUUUCCAAGCUAUACCCCAUUAUGGGUACAUGAAGCUUAAGAUGCCUGGGCCCAAUGGAGUUACCACUCUUGUCAGUGAUCCGGAUAUAGCACUCCGCGCUAAAAAUAAGACAGCUGCACUAGCCCUAGAGGCACUAUCCGAAGCCCUAGCGGCAGAAGAACUCACUGCGUUGCGCUCCACGGUGAAUAGGGGCGAUGCGAUACUCGAUAAGAGAUCUAAGUCCACCUCUUUUAAACCACAGACGAAAUAGUCAAAUUCCAGGUCCAUCCAAUGGACCCCACAAAGACGGCCUCCAUUGGGGCACAAUUAAACCCCGAUGUAGACGCCGCACUACGAGAAUUCCUUCGGGAAAACUGGGACAUUUUUGCCUGGCACCCUUCAGAUAUGCCAGGAAUCCCACGCAGGCUAGCAGAACACAGCCUAAACAUCCUAAAAGGAUUUAAGCCAGUCAAACAGGCUCUUCAGCGAUUUUCCGAACCCAAAAGACAGGCAAUGGGAGAGGAGCUAGCCAAACUAUUAGAAGCCGGAUUCAUCAGACACAUAAAACAUCCGGACUGGCUAGCAAACCUAGUAAUGGUACCAAAAAAGGACAAAUCCUGGUGCCUGUGUGUCGAUUUUAAAGACCUUAACAAGGCCUGUCCAAAGGAUCCUUUCCCCCUUCCCCGCAUCGACCAAAUCAUCGAUGCUACCGCAGGGCACGACUCAUUGUGCUUCCUCGACGCAUAUUCCGAAUACCAUCAAAUCAAGAUGGCGGAAAUAGACCAGGCCGCAACGGCAUUCAUUACCCCAUACGGGCCAUUCUGCUUCAACACAAUGCCCUUCGGACUCAAAAACGCCGGCGCAACAUAUCAGCUCAUGAUUCAGACAUGUCUGGCUACCCAGAUCGGCAAAAACAGUGGAGGCAUACAUAGACGAUGUGGUCGUCAAGACCAAACACGUCGAAACUCUAGUAGACGAUUUGAGACUCACAUUCGACAACCUCCGAGCAUAUACAUUAAGCUUAACCCAGAAAAAUGCGUUUUCGGCGUACCAGUCGGAAAGCUCUUGGGCUUCAUUGUAUCCGGUAGAGGAAUUGAAGCAAACCCAGCCAAGAUCCAAGCUCUGUUACAAUUGGAUACCCCAAAAGACCUCAAACAAAUACAACAACUGACUAGAUGUGUGGCGGCUCUAAGCCGUUGCAUUUCCCGUUUGGGAGAAAAGGCAUUGCCCCUCUAUCGCCUUGUCAGGACCCCGACUCAAUGCCACAUCGAUCUAGCAUGUAACACCCCAUAUAACUUUGCGGCCUCACGCACGGUAUUCCAACGGGUGUCGCCUUACCUUUGCCCGGGACCGUUUUCGCCUUUUGGCACACGUAUAUGAUAGUGUCGCUAGCAUCCAUAUGAUAAGGAUCCCGAGCUGACAUGGCUAGUCGUAAACCCGAAGUGGCACAAACUUACAGGGACAAUCAUCCAUGACCCAGUAUCGAACGUGUCGGUCAUCAGCGAGUGAAUCCAGGCUGUAGCACUGGGCUAGCAGGACUCCGGUGAACCGGGCUGUAGCGGGCUAACAGGACUCCGGUGAACCGGGCUGUAGCGGGCUAACAGGACUCCGGUAUUCAUCGCGUGACAUUUCCCCGAGGGGAUAGACACAGGAACGAAGAAGGAUACAUGCCGGCCAGCCUAAGUGUUCCGGAGCAGUAGCAAGCUACAAUGGCUCGGUGGAAACACUAGGAGACAUUUCCCGGUAAGAGAGGCUACUAAGGAUAAACAACUAGAUAGUCAGAUCCCACACAUACCAAGCAUUUCAAUAACAUAGACACAAUAUGCUCGAUAUGUGCAAAUACAACAUGGCAUCACAACAUGACUCUACGACUCAAGUAUUUAUUCAAUAGGCUCCGAGGAGCGCGAUAUUACAAGCAUGGGUCUCAUGACCCAACAUUCAGAGCAUACAGAUCAAGCACAUGCAGAAGCUUAUCAUCUCUGAGUACAGACAUCUACAAAUGAAAAAGGCUGAAAAGCCUGACUAUCUACCAGAUCCUGCCGAGGGCACAAGAUCGUAGCUGAGGUAACAAGCUAAACGUCGAAGUCCACGUGGAACUACUAGCGAGACUGAAGUCUCUCUGCAAAAAACAUAAAAUAGGCAAACGUGAGUACAAAUGUACCCAGCAAGACUUACAUCAGAACUAACUACAUAUGCAUCAUUAUCAACAAAGGGGGUGGUGGAGUUUAACUGCAGCAAGCCAGCUUUGACUCGGUGGCUAUCCUGAACUACGACUGCAAGUAACUCUUUGAGGUGGCGCACACGAGUCCACAUAUUCACCAUAUCAAUACACCACUAUGGAUCCGCUCCCGUCUCCUACGAGAACGCCACCCAUAGCACUCACGCUUAUCUUGCGUAUUUUAGAGUAUCCAGUUUCACUUGUCUAUGAACUGUACAGGCAACCCAGAAGUCCUUUACCGCGGACACUGCUAUUCGAAUAGAUGAUGUUAACCCUGCAGGGGUGUACUUCUUCACACACGCUCUCACCACUUACCGCAGUUUACACGACAUGUACUCGGCAACCUUCAAGCGAAAGCCCAGCGAGGGUGUCGGCCACGGCCUACCUAAACACUCAAGUCUCUAUUCCAGGUUUAUCGCCUAUUCGGGUUCCAUCCGCGAGGUGAUCCGGACGGGGUUUCGCUCACAGCCCCAAACGAUGUGUGCAGGGUUCCAAAGAUACCAAACGGGCGCUCGGUACAUCGGGCCACGGUUUAUCUACCGCAUAAUAGCCCACCCCUAGGGUCAGAGCUACGCACGGCCUCCAACACAUAUCCUACAAACACCAGAAACUAGUUGCAACUCCUGGACGGAGAACAAGGGUUAUUAAGAAGCCGAGAGGGUCCAUUGGUUUUGGGCCCAAUGCGUGGUAGUAUCUGUUUCAUGGAUCACAAACAGAGAACUCAGUUCCUGAGGACGUUUUCAAUGAGACAACCCAGCAUGUACUCCUACAUGGCCUCUCACAGCUACCUUUACCAAAUCGUGUUCACACACUUAGUUCACACACAGUAGGACAUGUUCACACACCUCUGAUUCAUCCCCGAUGAAUCAGACCUGACUCAACUCUAAGCAGUAGCAGGCAUGACAAACAAGCAUGAAUGAGUAGGCACAUCAGGGCUCAAACAACUCCUACUCAUGCUAGUGGGUUUCAUAUAUUUACUUUGGCAAUGACAGGUCAUGCAGAGGAUAAAGGGGUUUAGCUACCGCAGCAAGUAACAGAUGAAUCGUUGUUGUCCUAAUGCAGUAAAAGAGAGCAGGAGCGAGAGAGUAGGAUUGUAUCGGAAUGAACAAGGGGGUUUUGCUUGCCUGGUGGAGUGAUAGUAGGAUACUGCCCUUCAGUCGGAUAAUCGUAGGUAUCCUCGGAGGCAGAACCUACCACGAAAGAUACGUCGAACACAAUCAUCACAUGACGAUAUGCAACAAGGGUGAUUAAGAAGCCGAGAGGGUCCAUUGGUUUCGGGCCCAAUGCGUGGUAGUACCUGUUUCAUGGAUCACAAACACAGAACUCAGUUCCUGAGGACGGUUUCAAUGAGACAACCUACCAUGUACUCCUACAUGAACUCAGUAGCAGGCAUGACAAACAAGCAAGAAUGAGUAGGCACAUCAGGGCUCAAACAACUCCUACUCAUGCUAGUGGGUUUCAUCUAUUUACUGUGGCAAUGACAGGUCAUGCAGAGGAUAAAGGGGUUCAGCUACCGCAGCAAGUAACAGAUGAAUCGUUGUUGUCCUAAUGCAGUAAAAGAGAGCAGGAGCGAGAGAGUAGGAUUGUAUCGGAAUGAACAAGGGGGUUUUGCUUGCCUGAUGGAGUGAUAGUAGGAUACUGCCCUUCAGUCGGACAAUCAUAGGUAUCCUCGGAGGCAGAACCUAACACGAAAUAUACGUCGAACACAAUCAUCACAUGACGAUAUACAACAAUAUGAUGCAUGCUAUGACAUGGCAAUAUGAAUGUGUUUUGGGCUAAUGCAAGCUAGAACAGAUUGAGAUGAGUCCAUUUGAACCAAAGAUUCAAAUGCAAACCCAUUUUAUGAAGUCAUAAAGGUGCAUUAACUUGUUUCAUCUAAACAGCAAGGUUAGAUUGCUCUAACAUGCACGAAACAAUUAUAGAUGGAUAGAUUAGAUUUUUUUGAUCAUUUUUCACAUAUAAAUCUUUGCAUUUGGAGUUACAGAUUAAUUUCUAUGAAUUUUUGAAGUUUGCAAGAUUUUCUGGAAUUUCCUAUAUAAGAAUAAAUCCAGAAAAGGAUUUACUGCCUCAGUAUGACGUAGGUGUGACGUCAGCAGGUCAACUGGGUCGGCCAGGUCAAACCUGACCUGUGGGACCCAUAUGUCAGUGUCUCAGGCUGGUUUGGGUGGAUGACAGGUGGGACCGGUCAACGUUGACUUGACCAAAGUCAAAGCUGACACGUGGGGACCACACGUAUUAGUACUAAUCUUAACAGAAAAUUAGACUAACCUAAUUAUGCUCGGGGACCCACAUGUCAUUGACACAGGCAAUAACUAAACACGAUUAACACCUAAACUAAUGGUGCCACGUCAGCCACCGACGUUUAACAGCCGGCGACGACAGACCGCGGCGGUGCCCGCGUCGGGUUUGCUCUACGGGCCACCGUUCGAAGCGUAUCUGGGUGCGUUGGAAAGCUCGUGCUCCCGCGCAUUGAGCGGUGCAGGUGCUGGGUCGUGGGGAGGCCGAAGCUCGCCGGAGUGGAGCCCGCGGCGGUUGCCGGAGCACGGGAUCGAGCGGCGCAGCGCUAUGGUGCAGGGGAAGACAAGCUGGUGGCGGCGUUAGCUUGCUGCGGAGCUGCUGAGCUCGUAGCCGUGCUCAAGAACGAGCUUUGCCAGGUCUUGUUACAGCGGCGACAAGAACGGCGGCGGCCGGCUCUUGGCUCCGGUGGAAACGGCGGGUACACAGCGCAACAGAGCACGGGGAGAGAGGGGAGCGGCAAAGGAGCUCACAGUGAGUCAAACGGGAGGGUCAGCGAGCUCGGGGAGGCAUCUGAGGCGGCAAAUCGACGGCGACGAUCUCCGGUGGCCGACGAGGGGAACGGUGGUGCUUGCGGCGUCCAGGGGCUUCCGGUGUCAGCGGCUCGGUGAGGAGGAAGAGAGUGACGAGGCGGAGCUCGUGGCCGCGUCGGUGAGGCGUGGGGUGACCGGUGGUUGCGGCAACGACGGGCGACGGCGACGGCUGCGCUCAGGCAUGAGAGGGAGAGGGAGCAGAGGAGGGGAAGAGCUCGAGAGAGAGUGAGGGGCGGUCGGGGAGGCUGCGUGGCGUGCGCGGAGGCAUCCAUGGCGGCGGGGACGCAGGCAGGCUGGGAGCUCGCGUGGCGCGCGGAGCGCACGCGCGCGUCGGGCACGCGCCCUGUCCGACUGGCGAGAGGACAACGAUGACUGGCACAGGCCAAUGGGCUGGGCCGUGCUGCGCCAGGCCAGGUGAGCGCCAGGUAAAACUCUCUCUCUCUGCUUUCUGUUUCUGUUUCUGUUUUCUAUUUUUAUUCCUCUACUUUGAAUUAGUAAAAAUGCUAAUUCAUUUUUAAAACUCCUGAGAAAAAUUGUGGACACUAGUUGGUUUAUUCCAACGGCCCACAAAUUAUACCAGAAUAUUUGGGGCAUUCUAAAAUAUAUAUAGAAUUCAAAUGCCCCAAUUCAAAUAAAUUAUGAUUUAAUUCAAAAAUCCAGGAAUGACCUAUAGUUAUAUUCAUCAUUUUUGGCAGAGGUUUUCACCUUCAUCAGAAAUCAUGAACAUUUCCAAAGGGCAUUGUGGUUCAUUGAAAAAGUAUUUUAGUAACCCUAGUUGGUUUGAGUGGUGCUGGGGGUUUCUGCCAUCCCCAUUUCAAGUUUUUGAGAAAAUUAAACAUGAUGAUAUGACGAUCAUGCAAGGACAAGCAAAGGCUAAGCUAGGGCUAUGACAAGUCACCCCCACUAAACAAGAAUCUCGUCCCGAGAUUCAAGCGUAGGGUAAGAUGAAGGGGGGACGCAACUAACGCAAUCUUCACGAUCCAGGUUGCAUCUCAAAAGAAUGUUGAUUCGAUCAGCAUCUUUGUCUCGACGUCUUGCUCUGAGAACUCUAGCUAUCAUGGCAAUGAGAGGAGAAGGAAAACUCUAGAAGGAUCAAUCUUCUAGAAGAUCGAACAACCGACGAUCAACUCGCGGAAUGAGACAUUGAAUAUUUCUCGAGUUGAGACAUGAAACAUACAUCCAGAGGGAUGGAGUGUAACAGAUGAUGAAGAUUCACUAUGUGGACACAAUUCCACACUUAAGAAGGUGGUGAACGGUCGUCCACAUAGCGAAGAGUUGAGUUGCCAUGAUACCAUAACGAGACAUCUUAAGGAAGGUGACCCACAGAAAUAUUCCCUUAAGUGGCAAAAAGAAUUACUUUUGAUAUAGAGAUCAUUGAGACUCUUUAUACCAGCCUAAGGCAAUCACAAUUGAUCAUUUGAAGGAAUUCGAAAGAAUGACAUACUCAGACUAGAAUGGAUGAUGUGGACUACCUUGUUGAAGACAACGCAAUGGAUGAUUUUUCUUGUCACCAGAAAUGGAUGGGACUCAUGGUAAGUCUACUUCUGAGGAUGAUCCUAGACAUCAAUUACUGAGAGGGGCAGCCCAUGGAAAUUGGCACAAGGCGGUGCAAGCGGGGAACAAAUUGCAAAUGUCGGAAAUGUUCCAACCAUCAUAUCUGCCUGAGAUUCAGAUCUGGUUGGUGUCAGGACAUUCCAGACUCAUCAAGUCCAGAAAGAAAAAAUGAAAGUUUGCAACACAAAUCGACGAGAUGACGUUGCGAGAUUCUCGGGGGAUGAACUACGAUAGCAAGCUCCAAAACAUGAGCUGGUUCUGCUAAACAUGUGUGAACACGCUGUCACAAACAAACAUGACCACAUAGUAGUCUUAAGAUAAAACACUACCGAGUUCAGGUGGGGAACCAUCAUUGCGGAUAACGAAGUCCUUGCAUAAGUCAUAUGACUAGCUCUUAUGAAGGAAUUCCGUUUCUUGGAACAAAUCAGUCAGUGGCUUGGUGUGCUAGGGAUACAUACGGAAUGAAGAUGAUCAGUCUAUCAAACCACAGAAUACUUUGCACAUGCAUGACUGACUUGGGAUGAUUCCAUAGGAAGCAAACAUGCUUUCUUGAAUCCACGGCGACAACUUACAUCAAAUGCACGUGAGUUCGAGGAAGUCACUUCUCCAUCCAGACUUAUACCUCAUGAGCGGAACAUGAAGGCAAUGCUUACAAAGUUUCCAACACUAGGUUGAUGCCCAACAUGAAUCAUGGGGGAGAUAAAAUGCUGCUGAUGGGCUCAACAACACCUCAUCGGAAUUUCCAUAUCACUGGACUUCCACCAUCAUGUGAACAGGGUGAUAGCAUUGGUCAGACCAAAAGAUGUAAUGGUAUAUAUUCGAGGAAUCAACCACGAGUAAGACAACAUUACGAACAUCGUUGGUUCUGAUCUGACUUGAUGAUAGCCCAUACUAAAGUCAAAGUUUUGGCAAGACAACAGAUCCAACAACUGAUCACGAGGACCAAUUGGUGAAGGUAUCAUCUUUCUUCAACACACACACAAAAGGAUAUCCCUUUAAAUGAACUAAGUCGGACAAGCUUUUAUCUUCCAACUCUCCAAGUUGUUGUUUAGCUUAACCAACUUGCUUAGGGUAUCCGUCACAGAUUCUUGGAGAAAGGGUGGUUUCGAAAACCAACUUGAUCACGAACUCAACAUAGUGGCCAGGUGACAACCUGGUGAUACUUCCGAGAAGAAAUUCGGAAAAUCACGAACCACCUGUAUGUUACUAAUCCCGAGAACAAUCUUGCUUUUGAGGGCAAGAUGGUAUGAUCAAAUGAGCGAGGACUUGACAAGAUCCUAACUCAUCAAUCGAAGUGUGCACCAGGAAAAUGGACUAGGUGGCACAAUCAACCUUAGGGUGAUGAUUCAAUAAUCAACACACUAAGAAUGAGAAUAUUGUCCAUUAACUACCAAGCAACAAAGUUACUAGGAGUAUUGAUUUCACACAUCAUGGUUCACUUGCCGGCAUUCCAGUUGCGACAACACGGAACCGAGGAAUGAGUAAUGAUGGCAAGAAGUAUCACAGCGUCAAGAAUUCAUGAGAGAUGUUGCAGUUCUCAUGACAAUCCUGACAUAAAGGGGGUAAUACUCUAGGGUAGAACAGAAUCAAAACUGGAUGGCAUUUGAUCUGCGGAAUACAACUGCUUUGACCCAAUCCUAGAAAUGGAUAAGGUACUGGGGUUUGUUUCUCCUAGUCAUUCUAAAAUAGAAUGGCUUGACGGACCACAAGAAUAAUAAGCAUCGAUGAGCUUGAGUGCACAACUACUCUUGUCUAUCAAUUGAUAGACGAGGGUCAUAAGAUAUCUAAGAGGGACAACUCAAAAGAACAUAUGAUUUCCUGAGUUGUGGAUCCAUGGAUUAGAAUGUCGAACGCGUUCAACAUAUUUCUUCCAGACAAUUCGUGCAGAGAGGUAGGACUGGCAGGGUCACAACAUAGAAUCGAUAAUUCACCGAGAGCACUUUUUUUGUGAUCUUUUGGUUCAACGAGGAACUGCUGCCAUAAGUAGUUCAUGGUAUUCGGAAGAAUGAUAUACCACGAACCUCGAGAACUAUCGCAAAGGUUACUAAUAACCUAAAGGAACGAGCAAACACUAUCAACAUGAAGUGAGUAGGGUGAAUAUCGGGUUCAAAACCCAGGAGUAGAAUACCUACUAACUAAAUUGCAUCACGGGAUGCUUUCGGGAAUAAAGGCCAGAAUCAUCACACUGGGACACAAAUCAUGCUAGAUUACUAGAUGAUCCCCUAAGACACCUAGGGUCAUAAUAAUAAUUCCAACAUAUAUGUCGAGGCAAUAGAAUACCUCAACUCAGCAAUUAGUGUGAUUAACUUGGCCCAAAGGAACAUCAAUACCAGAGGGAAAGGAUUUGCAAGUGCAUCAAAUUGUUUAGAAACCUGGGAUGACUCGGACAGCAUAACGGCUGUAAAUGCUCAAAAAGAUUGGAGACAUGCUACAAAAAUGGUGGCAUAGCCACUCCGAAGCACAAUAUCAAGGUUUCGAGAUCAACAGUUAUGAACAUACGGAAGUAGUAAAACUAACUGAGAUUUGAAAUUACCAAUUCUAUAAGUCUAUGGAUUAGUAACAGGUCAUCUUGAUAGAUAGAUGAGAAGGCCUAGUUCUUAAUCCCCGUAGAAGAGAAGAGGAUGACUCAGAUCAGAAGGCCAUGAGGUAUAAGGAGUAAAAAGAGCCUUACGUUCCAUCCCACAAUCAAUUACCUUACAUAACUAAAGCAUUUCUAGACACAACUUCGACCAGUUUGGCUUGGUAAUCCUACAGGCAGUCAAGCUUUGAUACCAAAGCUGUCAGGACCCCGACUCAAUGCCACAUCGAUCUAGCAUGUAACACCUCAUAUCACUUUGCGGCCUCAUGCACGGUAUUCCCACGGGUGUCGCCUUACCUUUGCCCAGGACCGUUUGCGCCUUUUGGCACACGUAUAUGAUAGUGUCGCUAGCAUCCAUAUGAUAAGGAGCCCGGGCUGACAUGUCUAGUCGUAAACCCAAAGUGGCACAAACUUACAGGGAUAAGCACCCAUGACCCAGCAUCGAAUGUGUCAGUCAUCAGCGAGUGAAUCCAGGUUGUAGCACUGGGCUAGUAGGACUCCGGUGAACCGGGCUGUAGCGGGAUAACAGGACUCCGGUAUUCAUCGCGUGAUAUUUCCCCGAGGGGACAGACACAGGAACGAAGAAGGACACAUGCCAGCCAGCCUAAGUGUUCCGGAGCAGUAGCAAGCUACAUGGCUCGGUGGAAACACUAGGAGACAUUUCCCGGUAAGAGAGGCUACUAAGGAUAAACAACUAGAUAGUCAGAUCCCACACAUACCAAGCAUUUCAAUAACAUACACACAAUAUGCUCGAUAUGUGCAAAUACAACAUGGCAUCACAACGCGACUCUACGACUCAAGUAUUUAUUCAAUAGGCUCCGAGGAGCGCAAUAUUACAAGCAUGGGUCUCAUGACCCAACAUUCAGAGCAUACAGAUCAAGCACAUGCGGAAGCGUAUCAUGUCUGAGUACAGACAUCUACAAAUGAAAAAGGCUGAAAAGCCUAACUAUCUACCAGAUCCUGCCGAGGGCACAAGAUCGUAGCUGAGGUAACAAGCUAAACGUCGAAGUCCACGUGGAACUACUAGCAAGACUGAAGUCUCUCUGCAAAAAACAUAAAAUAGGCAAACGUGAGUACAAAUGUCCCCAGCAAGACUUACAUCAGAACUAACUACAUAUGCAUCAUUAUCAACAAAGGGGGUGGUGGAGUUUAACUGCAGCAAGCCAGCUUAGACUCGGUGGCUAUCCUGAACUACGACUGCAAGUAACUCUUUGAGGUGGCGCACACGAGUCCACAUAUUCACCAUAUCAAUACACCACUAUGGAUCCGCCCCCGUCUCCCUACGAGAACGCCACCCAUAGCACUCACGCUUAUCUUGCGUAUUUUAGAGUAUCCAGUUUCACUUGUCUAUGAACUGUACAGGCAACCCAGAAGUCCUUUACCGCGGACACUGCUAUUCGAAUAGAUGAUGUUAACCCUGCAGGGGUGUACUUCUUCACACACGCUCUCACCACUUACCGCCGUUUACACAACAUGUACUCGGCAACCUUCAAGCGGAAGCCCAGCGAAGGUGUCGGCCACGGCCUACCUAAACACUCAAGUCUCUAGUCCAGGUUUAUCGCCUAUUCGGGUUCCAUCCGCGAGGAUAUCCGGCCGGGGUUUCGCUCACAGCCCCAAACGAUGUGUGCAGGGUUCUCGAGACACCAAACGGGCGCUCGAUACACUGGGCCACGGUGUAUCUACCGCAUCAUAGCCCACCCCUAGGGUCAGCGCUACGCAUGGCCUCCAACACAUAUCCUACAAACACUAGAAACUAGUUGCAACUCCUGGACAGAGAACAAGGGUGAUUAAGAAGCCGAGAGGGUCCAUUGGUUUCGGGCCCAAUGCGUGGUAGUACCUGUUUCAUGGAUCACAAACACAGAACUCAGUUCCUGAGGACGGUUUCAAUGAGACAACCUACCAUGUACUCCUACAUGAACUCAGUAGCAGGCAUGACAAACAAGCAAGAAUGAGUAGGCACAUCAGGCUCAAACAACUCCUACUCAUGCUAGUGGGUUUCAUCUAUUUACUGUGGCAAUGACAGGUCAUGCAGAGGAUAAAGGGGUUCAGCUACCGCAGCAAGUAACAGAUGAAUCGUUGUUGUCCUAAUGCAGUAAAAGAGAGCAGGAGCGAGAGAGUAGGAUUGUAUCGGAAUGAACAAGGGGGUUUUGCUUGCCUGAUGGAGUGAUAGUAGGAUACUGCCCUUCAGUCGGACAAUCAUAGGUAUCCUCGGAGGCAGAACCUAACACGAAAGAUACGUCGAACACAAUCAUCACAUGACGAUAUACAACAAUAUGAUGCAUGCUAUGACAUGGCAAUAUGAAUUUGUUUUGGCCUAAUGCAAGCUAGAACAGAUUGAGAUGAGUCCAUUUGUACAAAAGAUUCAAAUGCCAACCCAUUUUAUGAAGUCAUAAAGGUGCAUUAACUUGUUUCAUCUAAACAGCAAGGUUAGGUUGCUCUAACAUGCAUGAAACCAUUACAUAUCGAUAGAUUGGAUUUUUCUGAUCAUUUUUCAUAUAUAAAUCUUUACAUUUGUAGUUACAGAUUAAUUUCUAUGAAUUAUUGAAGUUUGCAAGAUUUUCUGGAAUUUCCUAUAUAAGAAUAAAUCCAGAAAAGGAUUUACUGCGUCAAUAUGACAUAGGUGUGACGUCAGCAGGUCAACUGGGUCGUCCAUGUCAAACCUGACCUAUGGGACCCAUAUGUCAGUGUCUCAGGCUGGUUUGGGUGGAUGAUAGGUGGGAGCACACAUAUUAGUACUAAUCUUAACAUAAAAUAAGACUAUCCUAAUUAUGCUCGGGGACCGACAUGUCAUUGACACAGGCAAUAACAAAACACGAUUAGCACCUAAACUAAUGGUGCCACGUCAGCCACCGGCGUUUAACCGCCGACGACGACAGACCGCGGCAGUGCCCGCGUCGGGUUUGCUCUACGGGCCACCAUUCGAAGCGUGUCUGGGUGCGUUGGAAAGCUCUUGCUCCCGCGCGUCGAACGGUGCAGGUGCUGGGUCAUGGGGAGGCCGGAGCUCGCCGGAGUGCAACCCGCGGUGGUUGCCGGCGCUCGGGAUCGAGCGGCACAGUGCUAUGGUGCACGGGAAGACAAGUUGGUGGCGGCGUUAGCUUGCUGCGGAGCUGCUGAGCUCGUAGCCGUGCUCGGGAACGAGUUUUGCCAGCUCUUGUUACAGCGGCGACAAGAACGGCGGUGGUCGGCUCUCGGCUCCGGUGGAAAUGGCGGGUACACGGCGCAACAGAGCAUGGGGAGAGAGGGGAGCUGCGAAGGAGCUCACAGUGAGUCAAACGGGAGGGUCAGCGAGCUCGGGGAGGCACCGGAGGCGGCAAAUCGACGGCGAUGAUCUCCGGUGGCCGACGAGGGGAACGGCGGUGCUUGCGGCAUCCAGGGGCUUCCGGCGUCGGCGGCUCGGUGAGGAGGAAGAGAGGGACGAGGCGGAGCUUGUGGCCGCGUCGGUGAGGCGUGGGGUGACCGGUGGUUGCGGCAACGAUGGGCGGCGGCGACGGCUGCGCUCGGUCAUGAGAGGGAGAGGGAGCAGAGGAGGCGAAGAGCUCGAUAGAGAGUGAGGGGCGGUCGGGGAGGCUGCGUGGCGUGCGCGGAGGGAUCCAGAGUGGCGGGGACGCAGGCAGGCAGGGAGCUCGCGUGGCGCGCGGAGCGCACGAGCGCGUCGGGCACGCGCCCUGUCCGACUGGUGAGAGGACAACGAUGACUGGCACAGGCCAACGGGCUGGGCCGUGCUGGGCCAGGCCAGGUGAGCGCCAGGUAAAACUCUCUCUCUCUCUACUUUCUGUUUCUGUUUUCUAUUUUUAUUCCUAUGUUUUGAAUUAGUAAACAUGCUAAUUCAUUUUUAAAACUCCUGAGACAAAUUGUGGACACUAGUUGGUUUAUUCCAACGGCCCACAAAUUAUACCAGAAUAUUUGGGGCAUUCUAAAAUAUAUACAGAAUUCAAAUGCCCCAAUUCAAAUAUAUUAUGAUUUAAUUCAAAAAUACAGGAAUGACCUAUAGUUAUAUUCAUCAUUUUUGGCAGAGGUUUUCACCUUUAUCAGAAAUCAUGAACAUUUCCAAAGGGCAUUGUGGGUCAUUGAAAAAGUAUUUUAGUAACCCUAGUUGGUUUGAGUGGUGCUGGGCGUUUCUGCCAUCCCCAUUUCAAGUUUUUGAGAAAAUGAAACAUGAUGAUAUGACGAUCAUGCAAGGACAAGCAAAGGCUAAGCUAGGGCUGUGACACGCCUCCACAGGCGCACCGAACACUUCGAAUGGACGGAUGCUGCCACGGCCAGACUCGAAGAAAUAAAGGCCAUAUUGGCAACAAAUCCGGUCCUGGCCGCGCCCAACUUGGGCGAACCAAUGUUGUUAUAUAUCGCGGCAACACAUCAAGUUGUAAGCCCGGUGCUCAUCGUCGAACGAGAAACAGAAGGGCACAAAUUCCCUCUUCAAACACCAGUGUACUAUGUAUCCACUGUCUUAACUCCAUGCAAGUCCCGGUACCCACAUUAUCAAAAGAUAGCAUACGCGAUGUUCAUGGCAUCCCGGAAGCUGCGACACUACUUUCAAGAGUGUUCGAUAACAGUUGCCUCCGAAGUACCUCUCAACGACAUUAUAAACUACCGAGAGGCGACGGGCAGGAUUGGAAAAUGGGCCAUUGAGCUCUUACCAUUCGACAUAACCUACAAACCACGGCGAGCUAUAAAGUCGCAAGUUUUGGCUGACUUCAUCGCUGAAUGGACCGAAGCCGAACUCCCUAAAGAGUACGGCGCAUACUCCAAUUGGAUCAUGCAUUUCGACGGCUCCAAAAUGUUAGCCGGCUUAGGGGUUGGCGUCGUAUUGACGUCCCCAACCGGAGACACAGUCUAGUACGUACUUCAGAUAAUGUACACGGACUCCAACAAAGCAGCCGAAUAUGAGGCCCUUCUACAUGGUCUCCGGAUGGCAACCUCCACUCCUAGAGGUGCGCGGGGAUUCAAACCUCGCAAUAUCCCAAGUAAAUGGAGACUUUGAUGCCAAGGAUCCGAAAAUGGCAGCCUACCGCAACACCGUCUUAAAAAUGUCAGCUCGGUUCGAAGGACUCGAAUUCCACCAUGUAGCCCGGGAUAAUAACCAGGCAGCCGACAUGUUGGCACGCAUCGGCGCAAAACGCGACGCCGUCCCUCCAAACAUCUUCCUGGAGCGGCUUUCUAAGCCAUCCAUGUUAUGGGAAGAGGAGUCCGGAAAUAACAACCCGGAACCAACUGCACCACCCAACAUGGAACAAUCUGACACAAUCGAUGGCUCAGCCAAUGAAAUAACACCUUCGGCCCACGAAAUAAUGGCAGUCAUUGCCCCGUGGAUGGAACCAUUCCUAGCCUACUUAAUCAUGCAGGAACUCCCCAAAGACCAAAAUGAGGCCUGUUGCAUAGUGCGGCGAUCUAAAGCGUACAAGGUCCACGAGGGAGAGCUUUAUAAGAAAAACACAACCAGAGUCCUCCAAAGGUGCAUCUCCGAAGAAGAAGGGCGAAAUCUUCUGGCUGAAAUUCACGCCGGACUCGGCGGGCACCACGCUGCAGUCCGGGCCCUUGUAGGCAAGGCCUUCCAUACAGGAUUUUAUUGGCCGACGGCCCGGGCAGAUGCUCAGGACUUAGUCCAACGAUGCGUCAGUUGCCAGCUCUUUGCUAACCAGAGCCACAUGCCACCCACCGCCCUCAAAACUAUACCCAUCACCUGGCCGUUCGCGGUCUGGGGGCUUGACAUGGUUGGACCCCUUAAAGGGGGAACCCACAAGCAAAAGUACCUAUCGGUCAUGGUGGACAAAUUCACCAACAGGAUAGAGGCCAAGCCAGUUAAAACGGCCGAAUCCGGACCUGUGAUAGACUUCAUAUCCGUGGUAGUACACCGUUAUGGCGUCCCCCACAGCAUCAUCACUGAUAACGGCACGAACUUCAUGGCCGAUGAGGUUAAACUCUGGUGCAAAAACAUGGGCAUCAAGCUCGACUACGCUUCAGUCUAUCACCCUCAAACUAACGGUCAAGUCGAACGAGCAAAUGGUCUAAUCAUGAGCGGCAUUAAACCCAGGUUAGUGCGAUCCCUUAAGGAAUCAAACAGGCACUGGGUGGAGGAGCUCGACUCCAUACUCUAGGGGCUGCGAACCACGCCAAAUCGUACUACCGGAUUCACGCCAUUCUUUAUGGUAUACGGCGCAGAGGCAGUCUUGCCCUACGAUAUAAUUCAUGACUCACCUCGAGUGCGCAUGUACGAAGAAAGAGAAGCCGAGUUGGAUCGGCAGGACAGUGUGGAUGCAUUGGAGGAGGAGCGCGAUGUGGCAAAGGCUCGUUCCGCAUUCUAUCAGCACCAGGCUCGAAGAUAUCAAAGCAGAGAUGUACGGGCCAAAACUUACAAUGUUGGCGAACUAGUUCUACGCCUGUCGGACAAGAAAAAGGACAAACUCAAGCCCGAAUGGGAAGGUCCCUCAUCAUCGACCAAGUCCUGACCGGCGGAGCAUACCGUCUGCGAAACGCAUCGGACAACCGACUCGAGCCGAGCCCAUGGAAUGCAGCCCGCCUCCGAAGAUUCUAUGCCUAGCGCUGGACUCAGAGUUCGUCUCCUUCCUCCGUCCACAUUUUAUACUUCAGUUGUCUUUUGCUUCUCUCUUUUCUCCUCCCUUUUUCAUAGAGCCUUUGAGGGCUGAUCUGUGCAUUGUUCGCACACACUUGACGUGCUAUCCGCACUCAUUAUACCUGGGGGCUUCUUUAACAGAAGCUUAUUUAUACGGGCUUUAUGCCCAACACAUGCGUCAAACUUCCGCAUGAACCUUUUAUUCACCAUUAUAUGCAUUGAUAUGACUUAAGUUUUGGCCAAGCUGGGUUGCCUGGCUCCUGUGCUUACCCCUACGUUCCCGAUUGUUCGGCUAGGAGGUAAAGGGAGCACCUCUGCGAUUGUUACUACCGGGCCAGCCGGAUGUGUACCUCAGACUGGGUGAAGCCGAAAGCUAGCGUUCUUAAGGGAAUAUUCGGUCUGUGACUUGAAAGAUGAUUUCUUAAUUAUUUAUUUAUCUGCCCCCAGAUGCUUUUCUGCUCUUUUCGCAGUCCGGACAUGCACUUUAGGGCAUGCCUCCCAGGGAAAGGAACCCCUAAUGGAACUAUUCUCCCUGGAAGAUGUUUCUUACUAACCAUGUAAUAUAACAUAACUAGUUGGGCACUUGUCUGAUAAAGCACUAAUGACCCCUACGCCUGGUCUCCAUGCAUGCCCCGGUUUUUUCAUAACCGAGAGGGUAUUCGGACACACUCCGGACUCUAGGUUCCCGAGGUUGAAGUGAAAAGGUCUGCAAAGACAAACGAUAUACAAUCCAGCUAGAAGGCAUUUUACAUGUCAUUUUAAAAUACAUCAUCAAAUUGACUGACUGUACUCCUCUUCAAUUCCGUCUAACAGGCUGUCUAAUUUACAGUCCCGUUGGGAACACUUAGCGGCCAACUCUACUUUGCCGUACAUUAAGCUCACAGGGAUCUCCUUGCCGUACAUCCGCCUUCUUGUACCGCGUCUUCACCAUGGCCCAGGCCUCCCUGGCGCCUUGACGGCAGGCCGAUAUCUUCCACAGACGGAAGCAUUGCCGUGCUCCCUGAAGCUUCUCCGCAAGCCCUCCAAGGCCCUCGGGUAGGGAGACGGACGGCCAUAAGGCCUGGGCGACGCCUCUCAUCGCCUGCCGAACACGUUCGUGUAGUUGCACCAGCUCAGGAAGUUGGUCACCCGCUGAACCGGGCAUUUCCUCCGCAGGGCGACCUAUGAGCACACCUAAAGACACAUUUCUGUCAAUCGACUUCCUCGCCAAACUCUUCUUUCCAAAGGAGUUUGCUCAAGCACUUACUAUAAAUGCCGCAACGAAGCCGUUGAUUCUCCUUCACGGAGCCAGAUAGCUGGGCCCAAACACCUUUCAGCUCUUCUCCCAGCUGGGUGUGGGCAUCUUGGAGUUUGUUCCUCUCCUGCUGCACCAUCAUAAGCACCCUCUCGCCGGCCUUCAGCUGGCGCAGUAGCUGUUGCUUGUCCGGAUCAAGUCCGGCAACAUCUGCAAUAUUAUUGACAGACUUAUAUGCACGCCGCACGCCAUAAACAGCUCAUCUUUUCUAAAUAUGUGUUACCUGUGGGGGUCUAUGUGCCUCCUCCUGCGGCUAGUGUGGCCUCAAGUUGGGCCUUCCACUCUUGAAGCUCCUGGGACAGUUGGGUAUUCUUCUCCGUAAGAUCCUACAUAUCAUAUGAUCCUUAAAUCAGUUAUUCUAACCACUUUAAGUCUCGGGGGCUACUGGCAUAUAUAACUAUUAAAAUUCCUUACCCGUAUGUCUUUCACAUACUGCUCCGUGGAUCUGGUUAAAUUAUCUUGAGCGGCACGAAGGUGCGCGUCUCCCGCAUUAAAGGCAUUCAACGCCUCCGGGGAGAAACACGCGUCACAAAGAAUUGUCCGGCGGCGCUUGUGAUUCAUGGCGCUCUCCACCUCAGAUGUGGUGCCGGACAGCCUGUCGGCAUCCUCCGUUGGAGAAGCAUCUGGCUCGCGCCUUGCGCUCGCCUCCCCCUCCGGACCAGGUGUUGGAGCCUGGCUGGCGGAGGCUUGGUUGGCAACCUCUCUGGGCACAGUCCGGCGAGCGCUCUUUCUCUUGAAAAAGUCAUGAGCAUUAAUAUACUUCAUAGGAGUCUUUUCCUUAAAAACGGCGGUGUGCCAUACCGUUGCGGCGACAUUUCAAUUCGCACCGCACCCCUCUUCCGCCUGCUGGGCCGAACUGACCCUUGUUGGUCAGACGCCGCGGGCUCAGCUUCCCGCCUUGAAGGCACCUCCUGCGAGACACCGUUGGUAUACGGUGCUCAGAAAUAAGCACGGACGAAGUAAUGGUGUCAGGGCUCUAGUCAUAGUUACCUGGGAAGCCGGAGAUAACCCGGGGUAGUCAGCCGUAAUGGCGACUAGAGCAUUGUCCAUGGUAAGUUGGUGGAACACCCCGUUAAUCAGCUCCACAUUUAUGUCCGGAUCCUCUUCGGAGGCCGGAUCAAGCGAUCUUCCUGGAUCCUUGGGUUGUGGAGCCGGACUGUGUAUGCCCUCCACAUCCCGGCGCAGUUCCUGCGUCGAAAUCGUAAAGUAAGACAUUUAACUUUGCAAGCACGGAUCGGAUAGAUAAACGUCCGCUUACCCAGCUCCGAGGGUUAUUCAUGGAGAAUCCGUUCAAUGGACUCGUUUGGAGGAAGUCCUCCUUCUCCCCCUUGUACAAGCCGGACAGGAUCUUCACCAGAUCUGCGGCCGAUCCCGGCCCCUUGCGGCCAUGACGGGUGGUGUCAUUCUCCCCGUUGAAAUCCCACAUGGGGUGGCCCCUAUAUUGGAGCGGGUGCACCCCUCGCAUAAUGCACGUGGCCAUGACUCCAAUCAUGGUUAAUCCGGAAUGAGCCAGCAACCUCAUCCGGCCCAUCAGAUAAUGGACGCUCCUGUCAUCUUCCCGUUGAGGGCUCCGCGGGUGCCAACUCAGGCGUUUCUUUAGAGGAGCGUUGCUGAACUCCGGGAGCCCGAUCCAAACUGGGUCCGGCAGUGGAGCAUCUUCCACAUAAAACCAUUCCGAAGGCCAGUCUUCGGAUGCCUUCUUUGGGGUUCUGGAUAGAUAUCCGGUCCCGGCAAUGCGCCAUAUUUCGGCUCCGCCCACUUGAUAUAUCGACCCCUCAUGAGAACGGGGUACGAGGCAAAAUAAUCUCUUCCAUAGCAAAAAAAGGGGCUCGAUGCCCAAGAACAGCUGACAAAGAGCAGAAUGGAGGCGGGCGUAAGGUGAUGAAGCUGGAGUCCAUAGAACUCCAGAAGCCCCCGGAGAAACGGAUGUAUGGGAAAUCCGAGCCCCCUUAUUAGAUAAGGAACGAAGCACACCCGCUCUCCUUUGGAGGGACUGGGGGUGCUCUCCGCCUGCUUUCCACCUUUGUAGGUGGCCAGCCCGGCUCAAACCGAGACCAUAAAGGCCGGAGGAAGGUAUCCCUCCGCUUGGAGCGUCACCAGCUCGCUAUGCGGGAUUGAAAAUCUCCUCCAAUCUCCUGGCUGAGGGCUGGGAGCGCGAGAAGAGAAGCCGCGUCGACGGUCGAUGAGGGAGUGGAUUUUUGUCAGAAGCGCUCCGAUGAGUACUCGCGGAAGGAGGAUGGUGUGAUUUGGAUCUGGAUUCUUGCCUCUCUUAUAGGCAGCUUAUUCGCGCAGCUUGGGGGUAAAUGCAAAAAUACCCUGGCCUUUCGCAUUCGUACAACACGUGGAGAGGGCCAUUAUUGGGCGUGGAAGCCAAGGAGCGCAACAUUUAUAAGGAAGUCGGACACUAUUCAGCAAGCACAUGGAAUUUGGAGGAGAACCCGCCUUGCAACGCCGAAGACAAUAUAUGCGCCGGACUCGUCGUCAUUGAAGCCUAGUUCGGGGGCUACUGAGGGAGUCCUGGACUAGGGGGUGUCUGGAUAGCCGAACUAUCACUAUCGGCCGGACUCCAAGACUAUGAAGAUACAAGAUUGAAGACUUCGUCCCGUGUCCGGAUGGGACUUUCCUUGGCGUGGAAGGCAAGCUUGGCGAUACGGAUAUGUAGAUCUCCUACCAUUGUAACCGACUCUGUGUAACCCUUGCCCUCUCCGCUGUCUAUAUAAACCGGAGGGUUUUAGUCCGUAGGACACAACAACAACAACAAUCAUACCAUAGGCUAGCUUCUAGGGUUUAGCCUCCUUGCUCUCAUGGUAGAUCCACUCUUGUACUACCCAUAUCAUCAAUAUCAAUCAAGCAGGAGUAGUGAGGGAGUCCUGGACUAGGGGGUGUCCGGACAGCCGGACUAUCAUCGCCCGCCGGACUCCAAGACUACGAAGAUACAAGAUUGAAGACUCCGUCCCGUGUUCGGAUGGGACUUUCCUUGGCGUGGAAGGCAAGCUUGGCAAUACGGAUAUGUAGAUCUCCUACCAUUGUAACCGACUCUGUGUAACCCUAGCCUCCUCCGGUGCCUAUAUAAACCGGAGGGCUCUAGUCCGUAGGACAGCAUACAUUACAACAAUCAUACCAUAGGCUAGCUUUAGGGUUUAGCCUCCUUAAUCUCGUGGUAGAUCCACUCUUGUACUACCCAUAUCAUCAAUAUUAAUCAAGAAGGACGUAGGGUUUUACCUCCAUCGAGAGGGCCCGAACCUGGGUAAAACAUUGUGUCCCUCGUCUCUUGUUACCAUCCGCCUAGACGCACAGUUCGGGACCCCCUACCCGAGAUCCGCCGGUUUUGACACCGACAUUGGUGCUUUCAUUGAGAGUUCCUCUGUGUCGUCACCGAUAGGAAGGAUGCCUCCACCCGUCUUCAAAGACGGUGUUUUCGCCAAAGGGGCCUUGGCCGUCGGCCAAACUAUCCGGCUAGGUGGUUUUCUUAUGACCGCCUGUCCGGCCACCGCUUCGGCAAUGACUUCUCAAGUCGUCAGAAGCAAUCUUCGCGUUAGCUCGAAAUCUGCCAAACAGUUGAAUCCAAUAGAGCUCUCGUCUGUUAACGAGCUCUUGGAUCGCAUCGCCGCCCUAGGAGUCGCUACAGACUACGAUUAGAUUGGGCUUAAAACUCAUCUGAGAGAGAUUAACUCUCCCCAGGCCACCCACCACGUCGCAGUGGUAGAGGAGCAAUACGGCAACUCUUCGCCUAUAUUGAAAACUAGUCACGUCCGGAUCCCCGAACCCUCCAUGCCGGAUUUCCGCGGAGGGACGGACUUCGAUCGAGCAUUGAACUUAAAACCAUGCAUCGCUCCGGACUCGCUGGAUCGUGUCCAGCAACCCAAGCUUCCGAAUUCGGAAACUCGUCGGCCAUUAAGCCCUGAGAUGGGCAGGGAUCCGGAUUUUAGUCCACCCGCCCGCCCAGACAUAUGCGAUCUAUCUCUAAUACGGCAAGAGCCCGCUGAAACAGUACAUCAUUACUGGGCCAGAUUCCUCCUGGUUAUGGACAUGAUAAAGGACUGCCGAGAGGAAAACGCAAUCUCAAUCUUCUGCAAUAAUUGCACGGACAAGGGAAUAUUGAACGCCAUCGAUCGUCAUAAAAUUACACGCUUCACCGAUCUGGCGUCCAUAGUACGAAAGUACUGUGCGAUGGAGAGUUUCCGGAAAACCGAAAACCAAUUUUGGGAUAAUCCGGCCUCGACCCCAGUCCGCAACAAAAGGGUGCCUCACAUUCAGGCCCCAGAUGCAAAAACGAAAAAGCAAAAACCCAAUAAAGGGCACUGAACCGUACUGGAGGGAUGGCUCAAUGGACCAUGUAAGCUUCAUAGUACAAAGGGAGCCAUCCCAACACAUAGCCUUCGAGCAUGUUGGAUAUUACGAUAGGUGGCCAAAAGUGGCGAGGAGCUUCUAGCCCCAGGAAACCACCCCAACAAUACCGGUACGGUAUCAAUAGUCUUCGUGACCUUCGCAUCAAACAAUAUGCGAAAACGAACAAUCCGCGGACUCGCCGAAGUCUACCAAGUAGCAACAGCAAACCCAUGGAGCAACACAGCUAUUACCUUCAACGCCAGCAACGAGCCUAAAUUCCGAACAGCCAGAGCGCCAGCCGCACUGGUACUUAGUCCCAUAGUGGACGGCUUUCGACUGACAAAAGUCCUCAUGGAUGGCGGCAGCGGAGUAAACCUCAUUUACGAGGAAACCCUACAAAAAAUGGAAAUUGAUUGGAGCCGUAUUGAGCGAAGCAGCACAACCUUCAGAGGAAUAAUCCCCAGCCGGGAAGCGCGCUGCACUGGAAAAAUCACACUCGAUGUGGUGUUCGGCUCGCCGGACAAUUACAGAUCCGAAGAAGUCACGUUCCAAGUGGCCCCGUUCAGCAGCGGAUAUCACGCUAUAUUAGGACGAGAGGCAUUCACAAUUUUUCAAGCAGUGCCUCAUUACGGGUACAUGAAGCUCAAAAUGCCUGGGCCCGGCGGAAUAAUCACUCUCGCUAGUGAUCCGGACAUAGCACUCCGCGCCGAAAACAAGACAGCCGCACUAGCCCUCGAGGCACUAUCCGAAGCCUUGGCAGCAGAAGAACUCACCGCGCUGCGCUCUACGGUGAAUAGGGACAAUGUGAUACUCGAUAAAAGAUCCAAGUCCACCUCCUUCAAACCAGCAGAUGAAAUAACAAAAUUCCAGGUCCAUCCAACGGACCCAACAAAGACGGCCUCCAUUGGGGCACAAUUGAACCCCGAAGUAGACGCCGCACUGCACGAAUUCCUUCGGGAAAACUGGGACAUUUUCGCCUGGCAUCCUUCGGAUAUGCCCGGAAUCCCAUGCAGAUUGGCAGAACACAACCUAAACAUCCUAAAAGGGUUUAAGCCAGUAAUACAGGCUCUUCGACAAUUUUCCGAACCCAAAAGACAGGCAAUGGGAGAAGAGCUAGCCAAACUAUUGGAAGCCGGAUUCAUCAAAGAUAUCAAACACCCGGAUUGGCUAGCAAAUCUGGUAAUGGUACCAAAGAAGGACAAAUCCUGGCGCCGCUGUGUCGAUUUUAAAGACCUCAAUAAGGCUUGCCCAAAGGAUCCCUUCCCUCUCCCCCACAUCGACCAAAUUAUCGAUGCUACCGUAGGGCACGAUUCACUGUGCUUCCUCGACGCAUACUCUGGCUACCAUCAAAUCAAGAUGGCAGAAACAGACCAAGCCGCAACGACAUUCAUCACUCCUUGCGGACCAUUCUGCUUCAACACGAUGCCCUUCGGACUUAAAAACGCCGGGGCAACAUAUCAGCGCAUGAUUCAAACAUGCCUGGCUACCCAGAUCGGCAAAACAGUCGAGCCAUACGUAGACGACGUAGUCGUCAAAAAAACACGUCAAAACUCUAGUAGACGAUUUGAGGCUCACGUUCGACAACCUCAGAGCAUAUGACAUCAAGCUGAACCCGGAAAAAUGUGUUUUCGGCGUACCAGCCGGAAAGCUGCUGGGCUUCAUUGUAUCCGGUAGAGGAAUCGAAGCAAACCCAGCUAAAAUCCGAGCUCUGUCACAGUUGGACAUAACAAAAGACCUCAAACAAAUACAAAAAUUAACAGGAUGCGUGGCAGCUCUAAGCCGCUUUAUCUCCCGUCUAGGAGAAAAGGCGUUGCCCCUCUAUCGCCUCCUCAGGCGCACCGAACACUUCGAGUGGACGGAUGCUGCCACGGCCGGACUCGAAGAAAUAAAGGCCAUAUUGGCAACAAAUCCGGUCCUGGCUGCGCCCAUUCUGGGCGAACCAAUGUUGUUAUACAUCGCAGCAACACAUCAAGUAGUAAGCGCGAUCCUCGUCGUCGAACGAGAGACAGAAGGGCACAAAUUCCCUCUCCAAAAACCAGUGUAUUAUGUAUCCACUGUGUUAACCCCCUGCAUGUCCCGUUACCCGCACUAUCAGAAGAUAGCAUAUGCGGUGUUCAUGGCAUCCCGGAAGCUGCGACACUACUUUCAAGAGUGUUCGAUAACAGUGGCCUCUGAAGUACCACUCAAUGACAUUAUAAAUAACUGCGACGCAACGGGCAGGAUUGCAAAAUGGGCCAUUGAGCUCUUACCAUUCGAUAUAACUUACAAACCUCGGCGAGCUAUAAAGUCACAAGUUUUGGCUGACUUUGUUGCCGAAUGGACCGAAGUCGAACUCCCUAAAGAGUACGGCGGAUACUCCAAUUGGACUAUGCAUUUCGACGUCUCUAAAUUGUUGGCCGGACUGGGGGCUGGCGUCGUAUUGACGUCCCCAACCGGAGACACAGUCCAGUAUGUACUCCAAAUAAUGUACACGGACUCCAACAACGCAGCCGAAUACGAGGCCCUGUUACAUGGUCUCCGGAUGGCAGUCUCCAUGGGCAUUCAACGCCUCGAGGUGCGCGGGGAUUCAAACCUUGCAAUAUCCCAAAUAAACGGAGACUUUGACACUAAGGAUCCAAAAAUGGCAGCAUAUCGCAACGAUGUCCUAAAAAUGUCGGCUCGGUUUGAAGGACUCGAAUUCCAUCACAUAGCCCGAGAUAAUAACCAAGCGGCCGACGUAUUGGCACGCAUCGGUGUGAAACGUGAUGUUGUCCCUCCAAAUAUCUUCAUGGAACGGCUCUUCAAGCCAUCCGUACUAUGGGAAGAGGAGCCCGGAAGUGACAAACCAGAAAAAACCGCGCCAAUCGGCGAUUCAGCCGAUGACAUAGCACCUUCAGCCCAUGUCAUAAUGGCAGUAAUCGCCCCGUGGACAGAACCAUUCCUAGCCUACUUGCUUAGGCAGGAACUUCCCGAAGACCAAAACGAGGCUCGCUGCAUAGUCCGGCGAUCGAAAGCCUACAAGGUCCAUGAGGGAGAACUUUAUAAGAAAAGCACAACCGGAGUCCUUCAAAGGUGUAUCUCCGAAGAGGAAGGGCGAAACCUCCUGGCUGAAAUUCAUGCCGGACUAGGCGGACACCACGCAGCAGCCCGGGCCCUUGUAGGAAAGGCAUUCCGUACAGGAUUUUAUUGGCCGACGGCCCGGGCAGAUGCCCAAGACUUAGUCCAGAGAUGCGUCGGUUGUCAGCUCUUUAUAAUCAGAGCCACAUGCCGCCCACCGCCCUCAAAACUAUACCCAUUACCUGGCCGUUUGCGGUCUGGGGGCUCGAUAUGGUUGGACCCCUUAAAGGGGGAACCCACAAGCAAAGGUACCUAUUGGUCAUGGUGGAUAAAUUCACCAAAUGGAUAGAGGCCAAACCGGUCAAAACGGCAGAGUCCGGACCAGUGAUAGACUUUAUAUCCGGGGUAGUACACCGCUACGGAGUCCCCCACAGCAUCAUCACUGACAACGACACAAACUUCACUGCCGACGAGGUUAAGUCAUGGUGCAAAAAUAUGGGCAUUAAGCUCGACUACGCUUCAGUCUAUCACCCUCAAACCAACGGUCAAGUGGAACGAGCAAAUGGUCUAAUAAUGAGUGGCAUUAAACCCAGACUAGUGCGGUCACUUACUAAAUCUGACACGCACUGGGUCGAGGAGCUCGACUCCGUACUCUGGGGGCUGCGGACAACGCCUAACCGCACUAUCGGAUUCACACCAUUUUUUAUGGUGUACGGCGCAGAGGCAGUCUUGCCCUGCGACAUUAUUCAUGACUCACCUCGAGUGCGCAUGUACGAGGAAAGAGAGGCCGAGCUUGAUCGACAGGACAGCUUGGACACAUUGGAGGAAGAACGCUACGUCGCCAAGGCUCGUUCCGCAUUUUAUCAGCAACAGGCCCGAAGAUAUCAAAGCAGAGAAGUACGGGCCAAGACUUACAACGUUGGCGAACUAGUUCUACGCCUGCCGGACAAGAAAAAGGACAAGCUCAAGCCCAAAUGGGAGGGCCCCUUCAUUAUCGAUCAAGUCCUGACUGGCAGAGCGUACCGUCUACGAAAUGCGUCGGAUAACCGACUCGAGCCGAACCCAUGGAACGCAGCCCGCCUCCGAAGAUUCUAUGCCUAGCGCCGGACUAAGAGUUCGUCCCCUUCCCCCGUCCAAACUUUUACAUUUCAGCUGUCUUUUGUUUCUCUUUUCAUACCUUUUUAUUCAAAAGCCCUUAAGGGCCUACUUUCGCAUUUUUCACAUACACGUGAUGUGCCAUCCGCACUCAUUAUUCCUGGGGGCUUCUUUUACAGAAGCUCAAUUAUAAGGGUUUCAUACCCAGCACAUGUGUCAAGCUUCCACAUGUACCUUUUACUCACCAUUAUAUGCAUCGAUAUGACUUAAGUUUUGGCCAAGCUGGUUGGCCUGGCUCCUGUGCUUACCCCUACGUUCCCGAUUGUUCGGCUAGGAGGUAAAGGGAGCACCUCUGCGAUUGUUACUGCCGAGUCAGCCGGAUAUGUACCUCAGACUGGGUGAAGCCGAAAGCUAGCGUUCUUACGGGAAUAUUCGGUCGGUGACUUAAAAGAUGAAUUUUUACCUAUUUAUUUAUCCGCCCCCAGAUGUUUUUCUGCUUUCUUUGCAGUCCGAACAUGCACUUUAGGGCAUGCCUCCCAGGGAAAGGAACCCUUAACGGAACUAUUCUCCCUGGAAGAUGUUUCUUACUAACCAUGUAAUAUAACAUAACUAGUUGGGCACUUGUUUGAUAAAGCACUAAUGACCCCUACGCCUAGUCUCCAUGCAUACCACGGUUGUUUCUCAACCAAAAAGGUAUUCGGACACACUCCAGACCCUAGGGUCCCGAGGAUGAAGCGAAAAGGUCGGCAAAGACAAACGAUCUACAAUCCGGCUAGAAGGCAUUUCACAUGUCACUUUAAAGGAAAACAUACAUUGUCAAAUUUACUGAUUGUAUUCCUCCUCAAUCCCGUCUGACAGGCUGUCUUUCUUACAGUCCAGUUGUGAAAAUUUAGCAGCGAACUCUACUUGGCUGUACACUAAACUCACAGGGAUCUCCUUCCCAUCGGGCCCCACCAGUCCAACUUCGGCCAUGUGGUUGGGAUCCGCCUUCUUGUAACGCGUCUUCACCAUGGCCCAAGCCUCCCUGGCACCUUGGCGGCAAGCCAAAAUCUUCCACAAACGGAAGCGCUGUCGCACUCCCUACAGCUUCUCCGCAAGCUCCCCGAGGCCCUCGGGUAGGGAGAGGGCUGGCCAUAAAGCCUGGACGACGCCGUUCAUUACCUGCCGAACUCGUUCGAGUAGUUGCAACAGCUCGGGAAGUUGAUCACCCGUUGAUAUCGGCAUCUCCUCCGCAGGGCGACCUGUGAGUAUACCUACAAGACAUACUAUGUCAAUUUACUUCCUCGCCGAACUCUUCUUUUUAAAAGAGUCCGCUCAAGCACUUACUAUAAAUGCCGCGACGAAGCCGCUGAUUCUCCUUAACGGAGCUGGACAGCCCGGCUUGAGCGCCUUUUAGCUCUUCUCCGAGCUUGGCGCUGGCAUCUUGGAGUUGGUUCCUUUCUUGCUGCACCCUAUUCAGCACUCUCUCGCCGGCCUUUAGCUGGCGCAGUAAUUCUUGCCUGUCCGGAUCUUGUCCGGCGGCACCUGCAAUGUCACUAUUGGACUUGCGCGCACGCUGCAUAGCGCUUAUAUUUACUAAUAAAAAUGUGUUACCAGGAGGGGUCUCUGCGUCUCCUCCUGCGGCAGCAAGUGCGGCCUCAAGUUGGGCCUUGCAUUCUUGCAGCUCCUGAGACAGCUGGGCAUUCUUCUCGGUAAGAGCCUGCGUUUUAAUUGAUCCUUAAAUCAGUUAACAUAACUGCUUCAAGUCUCGGGGGCUACUGGUAUAUAUAUAACCAUUAAAAUUCCCUUACCCGUAUGUCUUUGACAUACUGCUCCGUGGCUCUGGUAAACCCAUCUUGAGCGGCACGGAGGUGCGCGUCCCCUGCGUUAAAGGCGUCCAAUGCCUCAGGGGAGAAGCACGAUUCACGAAAUACUGUCCGGCGCCGCCUAUGGUUCAUGGCGCUCUCCACCUCAGAUUUGGUGGCGGACAGUCUGUCGGUGUCCUCCGUUGGAGAAGGAUCCGGCCCGCGUCUUGCGCUUGCCUCCCCCUCCAGGCCGGGCGCUGGAGCCUGGCCGGUGUAGGUUGGAUCGGCAACUUCCGCGCCCGCAGUCUGGCGAGCGCUUUUUCUCCUAUAAAGAUCAUGAGCAUUCAGACGCUUCCUAGGAACGUUGCUCUGAAAAUUCGAAUACGAGUUAUACCUUUGCGGCGACGUUUUAGUCCGUACCGCGCUCCUUUUCCGCCUGUUGGUCCGAACUGACCUUUGUUGGUCAGCUGCCGCGGGCCCGGCUUCCCGCCGUAAAGGCGCUUCCUGCAAAAUACCAUCGUUCACGAAGGUCAGAAAGGGGCAAGGAAGAGAUAAUGGUGUCCGUACCUCGGUCACAGUCACCUGGGAAGCCGGAUACAGUCCGGGGUAGUCCUCCGUAAUGGCAACCAAGGCAUUGUCCAUGCUGAGCUGGUAAAAUACCCCGUCGAUCAGCUCCACCUUGAUGUCUGGAUCCUCUUCGGAGGCCGGAUCCAGGGAUCUUUCUGGAUCCUCGGGUUGCGGAGCGGGACUUACCAUGUCCUCCACAGUCUGGCGUAGAUCCUGCGCCGAAGACAUAAUGUAAGAAGCCUAAACUUCAAAAGCAUGGGUUGAGCCCUUAAAAGGUGUUCCCUUACCCAUCCUCUAGGGUUGUUCAUGGAAAACCCAUUCAAAGGGUUCGUACGAAGGAAGUCCUCCUUCUCCCCCUUGUACAGGCUUGACAGGAUCUCUACCAGAUCCUCGGUCAAAUCCGGCCAUUCACGGCCAUGACGGGUGGCGUCGUCCUCCCCGUUGAAAUCCCACAUGGGGUGGCCUCUGUAUUGCAAUGGCUGUACCCCCCACAUGAUGCAUGUCGCCAUGACUCCAAUCAUGGUCAACCCGGAAUGGGCCAGUAAUCUUAUUCGGCCCAUCAAGUAAUGGACGCUCUUGUCUUCCUCCAAUCGGGGGCUCCAUGGGCGCCAGCUGAGGCGUUUCUUCAGAGGAGCAACACUAAACUCCGGGAGGCCAAUCCGGACUGGGUCUGGCAGCGGAGCGUCUCCUAUAUAAAACCACUCUGAAGGCUAGUCUUCGGACGCCUUCUUGGGAGUACCGGAUGGGUAUCCGGUCCCGGUGAUGCGCCAUAUUUCGGCGCCGCCCACUUGGUAUAUGGACCCCUCGUGAGAACGGGGUACGAGGCAGAAUAGCCUCUUCCACAAUGCAAAAUGGGGCUCAAUGCCCAGGAAUAGCUCGCAGAGAGCUACGUAGCCCACGAUAUGCAGGACAGAGGCGGGCGUGAGGUGGUGGAGCUGGAGUCCGUAGAACUCCAGGAGCCCGCGGAGGAACGGAUGUAUUGGGAAUUCGAGUCCCCUUAUCAGAUAAGGGACGAAGCAUACUCUCUCCCCUUUGUUGGGACUUGGGGUAGCCUCCGCUUGCCUCCCACCUUGAUAAGUGACCAGCCCGGCUCGAACUGGGACCAUGAAGGCCGAAGGGAGAUAUCCCCCCGCUUGGAGCUUCAACAGCUCGUUGUGCAGAACAGAGCACCUCCUCCAAUCCCCUGGCGGUGGGCUGGGAGCGCGAGAAGAGGAGCCGCGUCGACGGUCCAUGAUGGAAUGGAUUUUUAGGUCAAGGGCGCUCCGAUGGAGUAUUCGCGGGAGGAAGAUGGUGCGGUUUGGAUCUGGAUUUUUGCCUCUUUUGUAGGCAGACGACUCGCACGACUAGGGGGUGAAACAUAAAAGACGCCCUGGCUUUUCGCAUUCGUGCGACACGUGGAAGAAGACCAUUAUUGGGCGUAGAAGCCGAGAAACACAGUAUUUAUGAUAAAGCCGGACACUGUUCGACAGGUACAUGGAACUUGAAGGGAGAACCCGCCUUGCAACGCCGAAGACUAUAUACGCGCUGGACUUAUCGUCAUUGAAGCCUGGUUCGGGGGCUACUGAGGGAGUCCUGGACUAGGGGGUGUCAGGACAGCGGGACUAUCAUCGCCCGCCGGACUCCAAGACUACGAAGAUACAAGAUUGAAGACUCCGUCCCGUGUCCGGAUGGGACUUUCCUUGGCGUGGAAGGCAAGCUUGGCAAUACGGAUAUGUAGAUCUCCUACCAUUGUAACCGACUCUGUGUAACCCUAGCCUCCUCCGGUGCCUAUAUAAACCAGAGGGCUCUAGUCCGUAGGACAACAUACAUUACAACAAUCAUACCAUAGGCUAGCUUUAGGGUUUAGCCUCCUUGAUCUCGUGGUAGAUCCACUCUUGUACUACCCAUAUCAUCAAUAUUAAUCAAGCAGGACGUAGGGUUUUACCUCCAUCGAGAGGGCCUGAACCUGGGUAAAACAUUGUGUCCCUCGUCUCCUGUUACCAUCCGCCUAGACGCAUAGUUCGGGACCCCCUACCCGAGAUCCGCCGCGGUUUUGACAUCGACAAGUAGGGUUUUACCUGCAUCGAGAGGGCCCGAACCUGGGUAAAAACAUCGUGUCCCUUGUCUCCUGUUACCAUCCGCCUAGAUGCAUAGUUCGGGACCCCCUACCUGAGAUCCGCCAGUUUUGACACCGACAGUUACUAAUAUCCUAAAGGAACUAGCAAACACUAUCAACAUGAGGUAAGAAGGGUGAAUCUCGGGGUUCAAGAACCCCGGAUUGGAAUACCUACUAACUAAUAACAUCACGGGAUACUUUCGAGAAUGAUGGCCAGAAUCAUCACAUGGGGAACACAAAACAUGGCUAGUUUACUAGGUAAUCUUCUAAGACACCUAGAGUCGUAAUAAUAACUCCAACAUAUAUGUCCAGGCAAUAAUUUACCUCAACGCACCGGUUAGUGUGCUUAUUCUGACCAUAAAGGACACUGGGAAUGGAAAGAAAGGAUUUGAAAAUGCAUCAGACUAUUUAGAAACCUGGGAUGACUCGGAUAGCAUAACGGCUGUAAAUGCUCAAAAUGAUUUGAGACAUCCUGAAAAAUGGUGGCAUAACCACUUAAUAUCACAAAAUCAAGGUUCUGAGACCAGCUAUGAACAUACGGAAGUAGUAAAAGCCGAAUUGAUAUUUGAAACUAACGAUUCUAUAGGUCUAUGGAUUAGUAACACGUCAUCCUGAUAGAUAGAUGAGAAGGCCUAGUUCUUAAUCCCCAUAGAAGAGAAGAGGUUGACUCAGAUCAGAAGGCAUGAGGUAUAAGGAGUAAAAAGAGCCUUAUGUUCCAUCCCACAAUCAAUUCCCUUACGUAACUAAAGCAUUUCUAGACACAACUUCGACCAGUUUGGCUUGGUAAUCUUACAGGCAGUCAUGCUCUGAUACCAAAGCUGUCAGGACCCCGACUCAAUGCCACAUCGAUCUAGCAUGUAACACCUCAUAUCACUUUGCGGCCUCACGCACGGUAUUUCCACGGGUGUCGCCUUACCUUUGCCCGGGACCAUUUGCGCCUUUUGGCACACGUAUAUGAUAGUGUCGCUAGCAUCCAUAUGAUAAGGAGCCCGGGCUGACAUGGCUAGUCGUAAACCCAAAGUGGCACAGACUUACAGGGACAGGCAUCCAUGACCCAGCAUCGAAUGUGUUGGUCAUCAGCGAGUGAAUCCGGGCUAUAGCACUGGGCUAGCAGGACUCUGGUAAACCGGGCUGUAGUGGGCUAACAGGACACCGGUACUCAAUGCGUGACAUUUCCCCAAAGGGACAGACACAGGAACGAAGAAGGAAACAUGCCGGCCAUCCUAAGUGUUCUGGAGCAGUAGCAAGCUACCAUGGCUCAGUGGAAGCACUAGGACACAUUUCCCGGUAAGAGAGACUACUAAGGAUAAACAACUAGAUAGUGAGAUCCCACACAUACCAAGCAUUUCAAUAACAUACACACAAUAUGCUCGAUAUGUGCAAAUACAACAUGGCUUCACAACAUGACUCUACAACUCAAGUAUUUUAUUCAAUAGGCUCCGAGGAGCGAGAUAUUACAAAUAUGGGUCUCUCGACCCAGCAUUGAGAGCAUACAAGUCAAAGCACAAGCGGAAGCUUAACAUGUCUGAGUACAGACAUCUACAAAUGAAAAAGGCUGAGAAGCCUGACUAUCUACCAGAUCCUGCCGAGGGCACAAGAUCGUAGCUGAGGUAACAAGCUAAACGUCAAAGUCCACGCGGAACUACUAGUGAGACGGAAGUCUCUCUGCUCAAACAUAAAUAGGCAAACGUGAGUACAAAUGUACCCAGCAAGACUUACAUCAGAACUAACUACAUAUGCAUCAUUAUCAACAAAGGGGAUGGUGGGGUUUAACUACAGCAAGCCAGCUUUGAGUCGGUGGCUAUCAUAAACUACGACUGCAAGUAACUCUUUUGAGGUGGUGCACACGAGUCCACAUAUUCACCAUAUCAAUACACCACUAUGGAUCCGCUCCCGUCUCCCUACGAGAACGCCAUCCAUAGCACUCGCGCUUACCUUGCGCAUUUUAGGGUAUCCACUUUCACUUGUCUAUGAACUCUACAGGCAACCCAGAAGUCCUUUUCCGCGGACACGGCUAUUCGAAUAGAUGAUGUUAACCCUGCAGGGGUGUACUUCUUCACACAUGCUCUCACCACUUACCGCCGUUUACACGACAUGUACUCGGCAACCUUCAAGCGGAAGCCCAGCGAGGGUGUCGGCCACGACCUACCUAAACACUCAAGUCUAUAGUCCAGGUUUAUCACCUAUUCGUGUUCCAUCCACGAGGAGAUCCGGCCGGAGUUUCGCUCACAGCCCCAAACGAUGUGUGCAGGGUUCCCAAGACACCAAACGGGCGCUCGGUACACCGGGCCACGGUGUAUCUACCGCAUCAUAGCCCACCCCUAGGGUAAGCGCUACCAUCAAUUAUUACAACAUAAAAAAAUGCCGUCAUGAAUAAUAAUAUGUAUAUAACUUAAGUGUAUCAUCAUCAAGUACAACAUAAAAAAUUGAAUACCUGACACUACUAAUAAUCUUGAUCAGUAUCAUCAAUAAAUGCAUAAUCAUCAUCAUCACUAUAAUCAAUGACGGGCUCAUAGGGUUCAGUGGCAUCAACAUGUGGAAGGCCACCUUUACGUAAUCGGUCAAGCAUUGAGAGGUCUUCCGCAGCAAUAACCUCUUCUUGUUCCUCCUCUGGGGUGAUGUGGGAUUCACUGUCGCUGUCUACUUCAAUGUUUUGGGGUGAAGUAUACCGGUUCAUGAAACGCUUUUUGGAAAGACGCGUCUCUUGGAAGAAUUCUUCUUCAUAUGUGUCUAGGUUAAUGUGAGGUUCAUAAUCCUCUUCCUUUGGGGGAGAUAGUCUAGCACGUGGCGGCACUUCAUAAACGACAUCCCAACCUUUCAGAUUUGGAUUAGUUUGGCAGGCCCAGGGUAGAUAGAAUACUUGGGUUGCCUGUUGAGCCAUAAUAUAGACAUCAGGAACAUCUAAAUGGGUGCUUUGGUUGAUUUCAACCAGCCCUAUAUGUUCAUGAGUCCUUCUAGUCUCCUUCGGUUGAAACCAAUAACAUUUGAAGACUACGACAUUCGGUGGGUUUUCAACAUAGAAUAGAAGUUCAUAAAUUGCUUCAACUCUCCCAUAAUACUCGGUACCUCCUUCGCCAAUAGCAAAUACACAAAAUUUUGUAGACUUUCGGUCGGCCAUAGAUAGCUCUUUGCCAUAUGUACGAAAACGAUACCCGUUGAUGUUGCAUUUGUCAAAUGAACGGACCUUACAGUCAAAACCAUUAGCGACUUGUCUCAAUUCAGCGUCCAUAGACUCUGAAUUAGCCUACAAGUUUAAUAUGAAAGGAUUGUUGCAUUACGCACAAAUUAGCGAAUGAAAUGAAAUUGUCUAAUAGAAUUUACCGUUUGUUUGAACCAAGAGAUGAAACCGGGAUAGCCGCCUCCUUGCUUUGCGAGAAGCUCAUACUCUUCGACGGAGUCCUUUUGGAUCACCGCUCCAUACGAGAAUAGGGUGACGUAUCGACUGUAUGAAAUAUCCAGGAAUAAGAGCAGUUAAAAGGAAAUAGAAGUUGCGAAACAAUGUACCGAGAACUUACUCGAUGUACGGCCGCACUUCUAUCAGGUUGGUGAAGAUAUACAACGAAAUGGUCCGCCAUUCUUCCUUACCCAAAGAUAUUGGAUUUGAAACACUGGCUGGUGCGAGAUUGCCUUUGAAUAGGCUGAGGUUGGAUCCACCCUUUUUAGGCUCGUCAGCAUUGUACUGAGGCUUCGGAUUAUGCAAAUGACGAUUUUUGGUUUCGUAGUGUGCUGUCACGAAGUUUGCCGCCUCCUCAGUGAUGAAUGCCUCAGCCAUGGACGCUUCAAUUCUACGUUUAUUUUUACAUUUUUCUCGAAGCGUCUUCUGCAUCCUCUCAGUUGGGUAGCACCAACGAUUUUGCACGGGCCCCCCCAAUCUUGCCUCUGUCGGGAGAUGCAAAAUCAAAUGCUGCAUUGGAUUAAGGAAGCCCGGUGGAAAGAUCUUCUCUAACUUGCAGAUCAACUCUGGCGCCAACUCUUCCAUUUCUUCUAGCACGUCAGGCGAUAGUUCUUUCGCACAAAGAACACGGAAGAAAUAGCUAAGUUCUGCCAGUACUAGCCAUUCAUCCUCAGGGAUGAAGCCACGCAACAUCACCUGCAUUACCCGCUCAAUCCAUAUGUGCCAAUCAUGACUCUUGAGACCAAAUAUCUUCAAUUUAUCAAGACUCGCCCCCCUCUUUAGAUUCGCUGCAUACCCAUUGGGGAAAAUCAACUGCAUUUUCACCCACAAGAUAAUUUCCCUCAUAGCUGGCCUUCCAAGAUUGAACCAUGCCUUUGGCUUCGUCCAGUUCUGCUUUCCUUUUGGUUCUUUCAUGUUUUGUAACGGCCUAUCACAUAGCGUCUCUAGAUCGACUCUAGCCUUAGUAUUAUCCUUUGACUUCCCAUCUAUGCCGAACAAUGUACCAAAAAGUGCCUCGGCGAUAUUCUUCUCAGUGUGCAUCACGUCGAUGUUGUGUGGGCAAAGGAGGUCUUUGAAGUAAGGCAGAUCCCACAAGCAUGUUUUGUGAGUCCAGGCGUGCUCAGAAUUAUACCCCUUGAAGUACCCUGGACGCUCUGGAUCUGGCUCGAGAGCGUUUAACUGAUCCAGGGUCUGUUGGCCUGUCAACGCAGGUGGUGCAGAGUUCUUUACAAGUCUACCUCUGAUGAAGUUCUUCUUGUCUUUCCUGAACUUAUGGCGAGGAUCCAGGAACUGUCUAUGCAUGUCGAAGCAAGAAAACUUGCGACCGACCUGAAGCCAACGAAACUCAAGAGCUCCCUUGCAUGUGGGGCACGGGAACCUUCCAUGCACACACCAGCCAACGAAUAGCGCAUACGCCGGAAAGUCAUGCAUCGAAUACAUGUACCAGACACGCAUUAUGAAGUUUCGUUUGCUAUAGGCAUCGUAUGUCUUGAACCCAUUAUCCCAGGCUUCUUGCAAUUCGUCCUUAAGCGGCUGCAUGUACACAUUCAUAUUUUUCCCCGGAUAGUUGGGCCCUGGAAUUAUCAACGUCAGGAAAAUGUUCUUUCUUUGCAUAAUCUGUCCGGGGGGAGAUUGAGUGGAAAGACAAAUACGGGCCAACAACUAUAUUGGGCUUCCGUCAUACCAAACACACUGAACCCAUCGGUGCUAAUGCCGACUCGAGGAUGCCUCGGAUCUGCCGCUUUGUCAGCAUGUAAUUCAUCAAACCUUUUCCACGCAACACCAUCCGAUGUGUGUACCAUCAUCAGUUUCCCAUCUGCAUCUAGUUCGGUUCUUUUGCCUGAUUUGUGCCAUGUCAUCUGUCUGUCCAUCUCUUCGACCAUGAAAAGACGUUGAAGUCUUGGUACAAUUGGCAUAUACCGAAGAACACUAACAGGGAUUGUGGUCUGUGUCUUCUCACCCAUACCGUUGUCUACCACAAUAUACCUGCAACACUUGCAAAUGGGACAAUAGUUCAAGUCCGCAUAGUCAAGCCUAAAUAAGGCACAUCCUUUCUCACAGGCAUGUAUCUUCUCAUAGGGCAUCUUCAGUGCACGGAGGAUUUUGUCCGACUGGUACAGGUUUGCAGGCAUUACAUGGCCUUUGGGUAGAAAGCGUCCAAAUACUGUCAUAAUUGCAUCAUAGCAUUCUCUGCCCAAGUUGAACUGAGCCUUCACAGCCAUUACUUGUGAGAUGGCAUCCAACUGACAAAGCUCAGUGUGCCCAUGGAGCGGACGUUUUGAAGACUCCACCAUUUCAUUGAAGGCCUUUGCAGAUUCCUCCAUCUCCUCGUCCGAAUCCCGAGCAUCAUCAUAGUCUUGCACCAUGUUUUCCAUCCCGGUACCAUGCUCGUCUGUGCGACGAUGAUCCACGUCAUCUCGGUCACAUUGGGCAGACUCACCAUGAAAUGUCCACACCGUAUAAUCGGGCGUAAAACCAUUCUUCUGCAGGUGUUUACCCAUUUCAGCCUCUGUCCUCUUUUCCCAAUUGCCGCAUUGGAAACAGGGGCACCAAGUUUUCCUCUGGCAAUUUGCAAAUGCGGCUUGCACAAAACCCUUGGUUUUUGUGAACCAUUCAACGCUCCAUUUGUUCUGACCAGUGUGACUGGUAUACAUCCACGCACGAUCACUCAUCUUGACUUUCAGAGCUACUGGACACACAACAAUUAUAUAUAUAAUUCACCAUGUAUAUAUUCAUCAGUUGAUCUACUUUGUCAAUUUUAUUACGUCCAUGCAACCUACACUCUAAUAAGUAAUGAUAGGUCCUAAUCCCACCCGAGUAUGUGUAGAUUGGGUUCAUUUUCCCAUAUGCUAUGCUCCGGAUCCGACGCAAAAUUUCGGCAGCACCUCCCCGCUGUUCUCCUGAGACACGUCUCUCUAAUAAAUAGAGCGCAUGUGUACCCGGAGAACAACAGGGGAGGCACUGACGAAAUUUAUGCGUCAGAUCCGGAGCAAAGCAUAUGGGAAAACGAACCCAAUCUACAUAUACUCGGGCUGUCCAUGGAUAGCGUUGGAUAAUUUGAAAGAAUCAAGGUUAUAAAUAUGCAAAUGCAUGCAUAUUUAUAACUAUGACACUUUCGAACGGGAGACACAUAUUGGUUACGCAUACUGAUGAUUCAAGACACAUAUAUAGCUAGCUAUCAAAUUUCAUCGGCACGAACACCGGAACAGAGCAAAUAAUUAAUGGGGGAGGAGGACAUGUCAUUUGUGCUCACCCAUGAACGAAGGGGCAGAGCUCGUCAAACGCACGGCGAGGUCGUCGAACACCAAACCUCGCAGCGGUGAAACAACUGCACAUUUAAAUCAACCCGAUCAACACAAUUAUAUAUGAUGUUUUUCAUAACAAAAUCGGAAAAUAUAUGACCUAACUAAUAAUUCACAAAUAUAAGACCCUGUCGGCCUUGGGGGGUCGGGUGUCGGGGUGUCUGGGUGUCGUGUCNNNNNNNNNNNNNNNNNNNNNNNNNNNNNNNNNNNNNNNNNNNNNNNNNNNNNNNNNNNNNNNNNNNNNNNNNNNNNNNNNNNNNNNNNNNNNNNNNNNNNNNNNNNNNNNNNNNNNNNNNNNNNNNNNNNNNNNNNNNNNNNNNNNNNNNNNNNNNNNNNNNNNNNNNNNNNNNNNNNNNNNNNNNNNNNNNNNNNNNNNNNNNNNNNNNNNNNNNNNNNNNNNNNNNNNNNNNNNNNNNNNNNNNNNNNNNNNNNNNNNNNNNNNNNNNNNNNNNNNNNNNNNNNNNNNNNNNNNNNNNNNNNNNNNNNNNNNNNNNNNNNNNNNNNNNNNNNNNNNNNNNNNNNNNNNNNNNNNNNNNNNNNNNNNNNNNNNNNNNNNNNNNNNNNNNNNNNNNNNNNNNNNNNNNNNNNNNNNNNNNNNNNNNNNNNNNNNNNNNNNNNNNNNNNNNNNNNNNNNNNNNNNNNNNNNNNNNNNNNNNNNNNNNNNNNNNNNNNNNNNNNNNNNNNNNNNNNNNNNNNNNNNNNNNNNNNNNNNNNNNNNNNNNNNNNNNNNNNNNNNNNNNNNNNNNNNNNNNNNNNNNNNNNNNNNNNNNNNNNNNNNNNNNNNNNNNNNNNNNNNNNNNNNNNNNNNNNNNNNNNNNNNNNNNNNNNNNNNNNNNNNNNNNNNNNNNNNNNNNNNNNNNNNNNNNNNNNNNNNNNNNNNNNNNNNNNNNNNNNNNNNNNNNNNNNNNNNNNNNNNNNNNNNNNNNNNNNNNNNNNNNNNNNNNNNNNNNNNNNNNNNNNNNNNNNNNNNNNNNNNNNNNNNNNNNNGUGUGGACAUCCGUUAGUUAAAGAAGCUCUUUGUCAUCCGCCAUUCUUUGCCGUCCGCCGUUGUCUCUCUUUGCCGUCUGCUAGCUGACGACAAAGAGGUGGGGGUGUUAAGUUUUUUUAAACGGGCGGGUGGGUGGGGGCCACCUCCCUCUUUGCCGUCAGCUGGUGUACGGCAACGAAAUGGCUCAUGGCAAAGAGCUUCUUUGCCGUCCGCCGUCUCUUUGCCGUCGGCUUUUCGGUAGCUGAUGGCAAAGAGCUUCUUUGUCGUCUGCUAGCCGACGGCAAAGAUCAGGCAGAUGGCAAAGUAGCUGAUUCCAGUAGUGCAACCUGAAGGAAAUUGGCAAGGCAUUGGAUGAUGGUGGUCCUCCGAGCAACUGAAAUGGAGGUUCUCUACAGAUUCUACUCCGCCAUCCUCCCAACAAGAUUUGCAAGACAACGCAAGGCUAGACAGUCAACGUAGUUGUGUAGAUGAUGAGCACAUCUCCCCUACUCCACCAUCACAGGUGCUUGCUCUAACUUGGCACUAUUAUAUAUGGUUGCAUGUUGCGUAUGAUGUUUAGCUUGUAUUGCUUCUAACUUUGUUGAAUGCAUCUGCUUACUUUACACAUAAUGCCUGUGAAUAUGACAAGGGUUCCUGUUUCUACAUCAAACUACUAUUCUUGCAUCUCCCGCAUCAGUCACUUAUGAUAAGGCACCUUUAACUCGCCACUGUGAUAUUGGUUGUGUCUUGCAUAUGAUUUCUAGCAUGUACUACUUCUAAUUUGUUGAAACACCAUACAAUUUGAACUUGGCAGAGUGAUAUUGGUUGCAUCUUUCAUAUGGUGUCUAGCUUGCAGUGCUUCUAAUUUGUUGAAAUGCCUUCUGCUUAGUUACCACAUCAUAGGUGUGAAUAUGUCACACCAUCCUGUUUUUCAUACAGAUUCCAUCCUCGCAUCAUGUGUUUGCCUUUCAUCCGAGUAGUGUUCGUCAGUAUCAUGCAUGAAUGAGUUUUGAAGAGCGAAUUUCAUUCCUUUUUCUUAUCAGUUUGACUUCACAAUGCAAAAUCAUUACAGCUAAAGGAAAUUAGUCCGACAGUGGAUGAUGGUGGUCCUUCGGAGCAACUCAAACAGGGGGUCUCUACAGAUUCUACUCCGCCAUCCUCCCAACAAGAUUCGCAAGAUAACACAAGGCUGGACAGUCAACAUAGCUGUGUAGAUGAUGAGCACAUCUCCCCUACUCCACCAUCACAGGUGCUUGCUCUAACUUGGCACUAUUAUAUGUGGUUGCAUGUUGCGUAUGAUGUCUAGCUUGUAUUGCUUCUAACUUGAAUUGCAUCUGCUUACUUUACACAUAAUGCCUGUGAAUAUGACACGUGUUCCUGUUUCUAGAACAUACGUGUACAUGAUGAGCACAUCUCCCCUACUCCGCCAUCACAGGUGCUUGCUCUUACUCGGAACUGUUAUAUGUGGUUGUGUUUUUCGUAUGAUGUCUAGUUUGUAUUGCUUCUGAUUAUGUUGAAUUGCAUCUGCAUAGCUUACAAUUUAUACCUGCAACAAUCACUUACCCAUAACGCACAUUUAACUUGGGACUUUGAUGUAGGUUGCAUCUUGCAUUGUCUUCUAGCUUGUACUGCUUCUAAUUUCUUGAAAUGGGACUUACGACGAGACACUUUUUACCUGAUAGAGUGAUAUUGGUUGCAUCUUCAUAUGGUGCCUAGCUUUCAUUUCUUCUAAUUUUGUUGAAAUGCCUUCCACUUACUAUUUUUUCAUAAAUAUUCCAUCCUCCUAUCAUACGUGUGCAUAUGAAAUGUUGUACUUUUUUGUAUAUAUUCGAUCCUCCCAUCCUACGCUUGCCUUACAUCAAAGUAGUGUUCGUAUGUAUCAUGCAUCAACCAGUUAUGCAGAGCUAAUUUUAUUCAUCUUCUUGUGGUUUUGACUUCAUAAGGCCAUAUCAGAAAAUAGGAAGGAAAAUAGUAAGUCAGGGGAUGUUGGUGGUCCUCCGCACCGAUGCAAACAGAGACUCUCUAGAUUUGCCACUGCUACUGCUAAUGAAGUUGAAGUCCCAAGUCUACAUGAUGAGUUCAUCUCUCGUACUCCACCAUUGCAGGUGCUUGCUCUAAGUUGACAGUGUGAUAAUUGGUUUCAUGAUGCAUAUGUUGUCUAGCCUGUAUUUCUUCUAUUUUUAUUAAAUUGCACCUGCUGAGUUUAUACGUUAUACAUGUGUAUAUGACAUGGCUUUCUUAGUCUAGAAUACACUGCAUCUAUCUAUCAUACCAUGUUCUUAUAUCAAAGUACUGCUGUUGUGUAUCCCGCAUCAGUCACUCAUGAUUGGACGCUUUUAACAUGGCAGUUUGAUAGUGGUUGCAUCUUGCAUUGAUUUCUACAUUGUACUGCUUCUAAUUUUUCGAAUUGCCACUUAUGACAUGACACUUUUAACUUGGCAGAGUAAUAUUGGUUGCAUCUUUCAUAUGGUGUCUAGUUUGCAUUACUUCUAUUUUCUUGAAAAUCCUUCUGCUUAGUUUGCACAUCGUAGCUAUGAAUAUGUCAUGUUGUGCUAUUUUUCUUACAUAUUCCAUCCUCAUACGGUUGUCUUACAUCAAAGUAUUACUUGUCUGUAUCAUGCAUCAAUGAGUUCUGAAGAGUGAUUUUAUUCUUUUGUGUUGUGGGUACAGCUUGACAUGGAAAAGUCAAAAAAGAGCAAGGAAAAUAAUAUAGUAGGGAGUGCUGUUACUCGUCGGUGAAACGAAAAAGGAUCUGCCAUUGAGAUUCUGCUGGUACUUAUAGUGCAGCAAAAGGUCCAAGUCCACCGGCUCAAUCUACAAACACAUUAUCACAUACUCCACCAGCUGCAGCAUCCGCUUCAACUGUACCAGCAUCUUAACCAGUUACUCAUUCGUUUGCUCCGGAACUGGCCAGUUCCCAAGCUGCCUUCAUACCUAACACUUAUUCCGAAGCAGUACUGACACAACAGGACUUGGCAAGAUGAGAUGAACCUCAUGAGCAUCAACACCAAGAUGGUACCUGACCGAGUCAAGUUGAAGUUGCAUGCUCCUUUAUAUGUACUCUCACAAUUUGAUGUACACUAACACUUUCCAUAUUCGUUGUUGAACUAGCACCACGGCGCAAGCGGAAACAGAUAUCAGGGAUAAUGCUUGACAAGUUAACAAAAUAUAAAGGAGGAAGAAUGGAGAUCCAUUUUGAGGCAGGUUUAACAAGGCCACCCGAUGCUACAGAGUCAGCCAAGUUAGUAUCAGAGGCAGUUGUUGCUGUUAGGUGUCAUGCACGUAUCCUCCCAACGUGGAUCCAGUACAGGAAUGAGAAAGACAAUAUCCAGUUUAACACCUUCUUUGACCAUUUAUCUGUAAGUAAUGUUAUUCAUCGCAAUUAGUAAUAUUGUCUUGCUCUGUCCCAUACUUUCUAGCUUCCUCCUAAUAAGACUCACAUUCUUUUUUUUCAACAGAUGAGGUUCAAGUCGGAUCUGAAAGAUGAUGCAACAAAACAUGCAUGCACUCAUGUUUUUCAGUCUGCUCUGCGACAGUUCGGUACCACCUUUGAAGGCAAGGCUAACAAUGAAAUCGCCCAAACAUCUCCAGUGGAAUAUAUUACAGAUGAAGACUGGACAGCCCUCGUUAAACACUGGUGUGAUUCAAAGUAUCAGGUAGGCUAUCACUACUAGGGAAAAGGCUAGCAGCAGCGCGGGUUUUAGAAGUAUCAGUAGCGCAGGUACCCGCGCUACUAAUAAGGCGCUACAACUAACUCAUAGCAGUAGCGCGUGCGCACCCGCGCUACUGCUACACAAGUGUAGCAGCAGCGCGGUUCGAGGAAGCUCGCUACCGCUAGGAGUGCUAGCACUCUUUGCCUGGACGCGCCACUGCUAUUGAGGCGCUGCUGCUAACUUUUAUACACUCGCUACUGCUAAUUUAGGUAGUUUUUUUUGGCAUAUUUGUUUUGUAUUUCAACCGGCUUUGUAGAAGAAUCUUUAGCACAUAGAAAUGUCAUCAUGAUACACAUACAAAUGCCUGCGAGACCACAAAUGUAAUCAUAGCAUGUACAUACAAAUAGUCUCAUCAUAAUCAUCAUCCAACACAAAGUGAUAUCUUGUCAUCAUCUCGAAAAUAGCAAUACAUUCAAGUCUUGAAUACUUGCAACUACAACAACGUCAUCCAUCUAAACAAAGGUAUACGCAAGAAGUGCUAUCACUAUGAGUGAGAGCGGAACUAUGCAGUACAUGAGGUGGCGGUUACGAGUCCUCUCUCGCGCUAGCGUGAACCUCAAGUAACUAGCUUCUCCUUCUUGUCUGCUUUUGAAGCCUUUAUGGCUGGCGCCCGUGAACCCACUCACUUGCGCCUGACACUCAUGCCACUCGUUGUACACCCCCGGAACCUUCCCUUUUUACACGACAUAGCAUUGCCAUCUCGCCAUCAAGAAACUAGGUACCUGUUAGAGAUGCAUGUUCAUGAAGAGGAUGUACAAUCAUAUAUAUGCAACAAAAUAUACUAGAGCAACACCAAAAAAGAAAGGUUAGCAACUAGAUGCAACAUAUAUAGUACGCAAAUUAAUUAACUAGAGGUACGCAGGUCAUCGUACGCAAACUAACAAAGUAGCGUUACGCAAGUUCGGUAGGGACCGUGGACAUCACAAAGUUUCAUCGCUACAAAAAGUAUACAAGUUCAACCAACACAUAUCAUCAUCAUCGGCAUCAUAAAUCACUAGAAGUUCCAUCCUUCCAUAUCAUCAAGGACGAACCCUAGCUUCUUGAACGGCGUGAGGUCUAGAUGUUGCAUGCCUAUGCGAGUUCGGACGUCAGUUUGCGAUAUAGGGCCGUGGUGGAACAUCCCCUUCUCAUCGACGACUUCUUUCAUGAUGAUCGUCGCAAUGUCGCUUUGGAUGCGAAAGAAGUCAUCUCUAAGUUUAUAAUUCGCUUCUCCAUGAGAUUCUAGCCACUUGUGGAUAUGAUCAUCAUUUCUGCUGUUAAUGCGCAGAUUUUGGUGAUCCGUGUUGAACUGAAUCAUGAGAUGGAUGAUGUAGAAUCCAUCCUUCUUGCUUGGUUUUGGGACAUGGAUGCAGGAGAAGUUAGUUUUAUGCGCGAAACCCAUCUUCUUGUUCCUUUGUUUCUUGAUAUGCACGUGGCCACCUCUAAAGCUGAAGCCUUGGAGAGCAUCAUCUAGAAUAUUCAUUAUGUGGGUGUAGUCCUUUUUCUCGUAGUCUCUGGAAGGGUCAAAAUACACGGCGUGGGAGACUUGCGGGUAAAGAACGGUAAGGACGGCGCGCCCGUUGCUGCAGGGAAAAGACACCUCAAAUUAUUCCCCGUAUGAGAGAGAAGAAAUAAUUGAAAUGUAUGAAAGGGUUGUCCGGAACUGACUUACUUUGGAUGAUAAGGCACGAGGACAAUUUCCCGGUCCUUAUUCUGUACCAUGAAGUUUUGGAGGUACUCCCUAGCAGUUUCACGCUCAAAGUCGCCGAGACUCAAGAAAGACUCGUGCAUGUAGUACGGAUCCGCCACACAGAUUUGCGAGACUUCUUCACUCUUCAUGACAGAGCUCAUAUGUAGCGCAAAAAGGCGGACGAUAGUAAAAUCAAGCCGCCUUGUUAGAAACAUCUCAAAGAUAUGGUCAAACCGCAGGAAGAACACCUCCGUGGGCCAUGUGUCGACGUAGCACUUCCCCUCAGGCACACGAGCCGCGUCUGUCGGAUAUCCUGGAUCCUUUGAGGCUAGUAGGCUUUUCUCAGUCGACAGCACAUGGUCGUGUAGUCUCCUGAGAUCCCCUGAUAGUGCCUCCAGCGGUUUCGGCGGUAGCAUCGGCUCGCCCGUGAAAUGGAACAUGACCGCACCUUUCACGGGUACACGCUCUUCAGAAUGCAUCGUCUGGCUGCUGUGUGCUCUGGCUUGUUUGUAGGCAGUUACCUUCCCCGAUCUCUUCCUCUCCUUUUUCUUGGGCACACCUUCCAGACCCUUCCUUAACCCCUGCCCAAGUGUUCCUGGGCUAAGUACUAUACGACCCUCGCGCCCGGCUAGUUGAGCCUGUGUUGAGGCGGCAUCUUCAGGCGUGUCCUGUGAGGAUUUCAUGAAGAGAGACUUUUUGCAAUCCAUGGUACGACCCUGCCCGGGCAUAUCAUCCAUAUCCUCAUUAGCAAGCUGAUAGCCCGAUUCGUCAUAUGGUUGACUCAUCAUAUCUAUGUCACAGUCAUACGCGUUUGUAUUGAGGUAAUCCAUAGGGUCGACCUCCGUCUCAUCAUCCAUUCUCUGUUCUACAGGAGAAAUUACAUCAGCCAGUACUAUUGCACCCCUUCAUCAUGUCGUCCGCCGCUCUCACCCGGCACUACAGGAGCUGGUAAUUGCGUAGGCAGGGUGGUGGUCUCCGCACAUGCUUGUUGAUGUGUGGUAGUUAUUGGUGUGCUCUCGGCCGGCUCGAAACGAAUAAGAUUCUUCGGCCAUAGCAGCACCCAACCCUUGCAGCUUCCAAUCCGCGGCGGGGUCUCGUCGUCCGCUCGCACAUGCUGUACUGGAGGAGGCAAAUCCUCGUGCCCCAAUUUCACACUGGUCAAGCUAACCCUGAAGUGCCCAGCGGGGAUCGGCUGGUUGUGGAACGUGCGUUGAGAGGGGUCCAUUAUCAUCCGCUUUCCCACGUCCACAUUCUGGCCUUUGAUCAAGUAGAGUAUGGUGCACGGGGUUUCUUUCGCCUGCAAACACAUAUGUCUGUGGCGUAAAACAACCGAAAGGCAACAAAAAUGGAAUAUUAUCUAUAUAUAUGUUGGUGCGACAUGUAAUUACCGUGACGGCGUCGAGCUCAGCCAAAGACGAAGGCCCACCUAGCGCGCCUGAGACUGAGGAUGGGCUUCUAUGAGCGGGAGCGGCUGCGAGAGGAGGCCUGGUUGCUUGAGCAAGUGAUGGUGCGAUGGUGUUGUUGUUCAUGGAGUUGCUCGCGACGAAACUGGGCAUCGGGAAAUCAUGUACCGUCUUGUCUGGAUUUUCCUUCGCCCAGUUGAUGAUAAGUGGAACCAAGUUAGUAGCGAAAUCAUUUCUGCAGGCAGUUACAGAUGCAUUGACUGCCUACUGUAGCAACUCAUAUUUGUCCUCGGCUGCUUUUUUCGCAUCCUCAGCUGCUUUUUUCUCGACCGCAAGCUUCACCUUUGUGUCGAUGUCCGCCUGACUAAACUUCUUUUUCUGCUUCUUAGCCUCCGGGCCGUCAGUGUAAAACACCUUCCACGUGGCGACGUCUCCAGCGCCGUGCACACGACCAUAUUGCGGCCGCUGGUCCAACGGGAGUCCCUUAAGUUCGUUCAAGGCCCGGUUGAGAGGGGUGUCCCACUUGGGCCUCAUCGGAGAAGUAGGGCUUUUGGCUGCAAGCUGGUGUUGCUUCUCCAGUAGUCUAAUCAAUUUCCUCGUGAUCUUGUCCGUGUAAAAAACCAUUUUCUCCUUGUCCCACUUGUAGCGGGCCCUGAUGAAGUCAUGCUCCAAGGGGUUGGUGAACUUCGCGAAGGGGUCUGGGAGACCCGCGGCUUCACGUUCCGCGUCCUCCUUAUCCCAUAUGGGCCUUUUACCGAGGUAGCCACGGCUUCCGAGGCGAUGCUUCCCCGUGUUCCGGAGCUGAAGGCUUUUGAAUUUCGCAGCCUUAGCCUUGGCUGCCUCGGCGCAAGUGUCCUUGAACUUUUCGAACUCCUCUUACGUAAGUGUCGGAUUUUCCUCCAGAAUCUUGGACAAGGGUUCAUCAGCCUCAAUAGCUCGUUUCACCCUCCCUUUCCAGGAGGCCAAAUCAUUGCUGAACAUCCCAUGGCGUGAUUGUUAAUCUUUUUCAUCUUUGGAUUAUCCCAUGGUUGUUCUAUGUUAUCAUCCCGGUCGGGGAACUUGAAUCUCUUGUGCAACUUCGUUAGGAGCAACUGCGUCAAAUGUUCUUUACUCCUUAAGUCAUCAUCGUUGAUGCUCGCGCAUUCCCGUAGGAUGCAUCCUACUUGGUUCCCAUAGCACUUGCGAGGUUCUUCCGGCUCUAACGGCUCAAACUUGCCAGGUGCCAUCUUUGUGAUCACAAGUCGUCCAAUCCCUAGUUUGUUAGGUUUUCGUAUCCUCUGCUUCUUAUGCUUCCUCUUUUCGGUAGCGGCAUCGGGGCCGGUACCUUCCCCGCCGGUACCUUCCCCACCGGUCUCGGUGCCGCCAUCGGUGCCGGUGCCAUCGGUGUGGAUGUCGGCGUCAGUACCAUCAUCGAGGCCGACCUGCAAACCUUGCUUAGCAGUCAAAUAGUCGAGGUACUCUUGUUCACCCUCAUAAUCCAUCUCGUCUGCAUCUUGGUCAGAAGGCCCAGUUUCUUCGUUGUUCGACAUGUUUCCUAUGAUUAAGUGGCCUCAUUUAUUUCUAAAAGUAUGAAUAAAUUAGAAAUAACAUAAAAAUAAAUCUAUGUGCCAGCACUCGAUAUGCCAACUAUGUAGCACAAAUCAUGCCUUUAUUCACGGGAAAUUUCGGCAUGACCUUUGCUAAAAAAUGGACAUAUCGAGCGCCUGAAAUUCACCGAAAUGGAAAUGAAUCAACAUUCCGGCGUAACAUAGGCCACUCGGAUCAUUUUCCAAACAUGACAUGUCCAAAACAUGACAUAUGCACAUAUCACAUGUCCAGUUCAAAUUUGCAUAUAAAUUCAGCUAAUUUUGAAACCUAGCUAAAUUCAUAACUAAAUAGAUAACCUAAUUAAUUAACAUGAAGAACCCUAGCAGAGAGGGGGGGUUUACAGAGAGUGCAGGGGCGAGGCGGCAGGCCCGACGAUGGCCGGCAGGGGAGAGGAGGGAGGCGAGGGCCGACGGGUCGGGGNNNNNNNNNNNNNNNNNNNNNNNNNNNNNNNNNNNNNNNNNNNNNNNNNNNNNNNNNNNNNNNNNNNNNNNNNNNNNNNNNNNNNNNNNNNNNNNNNNNNNNNNNNNNNNNNNNNNNNNNNNNNNNNNNNNNNNNNNNNNNNNNNNNNNNNNNNNNNNNNNNNNNNNNNNNNNNNNNNNNNNNNNNNNNNNNNNNNNNNNNNNNNNNNNNNNNNNNNNNNNNNNNNNNNNNNNNNNNNNNNNNNNNNNNNNNNNNNNNNNNNNNNNNNNNNNNNNNNNNNNNNNNNNNNNNNNNNNNNNNNNNNNNNNNNNNNNNNNNNNNNNNNNNNNNNNNNNNNNNNNNNNNNNNNNNNNNNNNNNNNNNNNNNNNNNNNNNNNNNNNNUGGGACGGGGGCGAGCGCCGGGGCGAGCGCCGGCGCCGGCAGAGUCGGGGGCGAGCGUCGGGGCCGGGUCGGGCGCGGCGGUGCGACGGGGGAAAGAGAGUGGGGAUUUGGGGGGAAAUGGCGGGAUGUAGCAGGGUGAGUGAGAAUUUUGGGUUAAGUGGACGUAGAAGUAGCGCGUUAUGACAAAACGCGCUGCUACUAAAUUCAGUAGCUGCAGCGGUUUAGGAGAAACGCGCUACUACUAAAUUCUGUAGCUGCAGCAGUUUAGGAGAAACGCGCUACUACUAAGAUCUAUAGCUGCAGCGGUUUAGGAGAAACGCGCUGCUACUACCGUCGCUACUGCCAGUUUUCCUUUUUCUUUUCCUUUAUUUUAUCCCACUUUUAUUUCCCGAGGGCAGUGAACGAAGGGAGGGCGAUAUAUAUUGCAUCAUUUGACGGUUAAAUAUGUAUGCAAAAUAGGAACAUAUAUAUUACACAUCAUUGGACCCAUGCAUAAUAAUGGCUAAGUGUGUAUACAAAAUAGGAACAUAUAUAUAUUACACAUCAUUGGACCCAUAACAUACGUUUCCUCAGUGCUGACGUUUUCGUUUUUGAGUCAGCUUCUUUCCCUUCUUGUUCGUCGAAGAAUAAUUGAGCCCCUCAUUGUGACUUUGCCUUUUCCAUGGAGUACGAUUUUUCUUAGGUAAUGUAGUAUUGAUUCUUCUAUUGAUGUAUACUUCAUCAUCAUCAUCAUCUUCCCUCAUUGGGUUGCCGUACCGAUCAUAGUCUUCCUCGUUGGCGACUCCAUCCAUUCCAAUGAUGUUCCUUUUGCCUCUCCUCACGACAACAUGGUUGGGAUUGCGCGGGUCAGUUAUGAAGAAGCAUUGUGUCAUGUGCUUAGCGUAUACCCAUGGCUCGUUUUUUGCGAUAGCGUUCACGGUAGCGCUCUUGGCGUCGGGUAUAGUCAUGGUAGUGAACAUCCGGCUUUCUCUUUCGACAUUCUUAGCCCAUCUGACACGGAACAUCGUCGUGUUGUGCAGUCCAGAGUAGUCAAGCUCCCAGAUCUCCUCGACCCUUCCAUAAAAUCGUUCAGUUGUGUCGUUGUUGUUGCUGGUCAUGCAUUCCAUCGUCACCCCUGAGUUCUGAUCAUCACUCUCCAUAUCUUUUGCCUCCGUGGAGAACGUGUAUCCGUUGAUAUCAUAUGCCUGAUAGGUUACGAGGUUGGGCGAGGGGCCAUUUGCUAAGGCGUAUAUGAGCAAUCCGUCCUUAGAGCCCUCCUCCAGGGGAUUAGCAAUAAUAUGCUCUUUGAACCAAUGCAGGAAAGUGGAGUUGUGCUCUCUAGUAACUUCGGCGUCCGUCCUGCAUACCCCCCGGUCACGAUACUUCUUUGCGAUAAUUUCUUUGUGCUGUGCCACGAAAGGAUCUACGUCGUCUAGGUGUUGUAGCACUACCAAGAUUGCCGUGUCAAAGUCGCUGCGUCGAUCUGAGUAUGCCACGUGCAGUUCCCUGCGACCGUUGCAUUGACUAUCUCCUUCGAGCCUCCCAUCGUGCUUGUUAACGGGCAAACCAACACUAACAUCAGGCGGCUGGUCUGCUCCACAUAGAAAAUUCUCACAGAAAGAGAUGCACUCUUGUGCCAAAUAGCCCUGGGCGAUGCUUCCAUCCGGACGGGACAUGUUACGAACGAAUCCUUUGAUGAUCCCAUUCAUCCUCUCAAACGGCAUCAUGUUGUGCAGGAAUGACGGCCCCAGGUCUAUUAUGUCAUCCACAAUAUGGACACACAGAUGCACCAUCACGUCGAAGAACGCGGGCGGGAAGUACAUCUCAAGCUCAUUCAGUAUCACAACGAUCUCUUCCUGUAGCCUUUGGAGCUGCUUCACACUGAUCGACUUUCGAGGGAUGACAUCGAAAAAGUUGCAGAGACCAAUAAGCGUGUCACGGACGUGCUUGUCCAUUAUCCCUCUAAGGGCAACAGGUAGUAUCUGCUUCAUCAUCACAUGACAGUCAUGAGACUUCAUCCCGCUGAACCUUUUCUUGUACGUUUCUAGAUAUCUGCUUAUCUUGCCACAGUAACCGGAACUAACUUUCACUCCGGUAAGGAACUUAAAGAAUUGAUUGAUCUCAGCCUGACUUAAGGUGAAGCAAGAGGGGGGGGGCAAUAAUCCUCUUUCUUUAUUUUCUUGCCCUUCUUCUCCCGUGCCUCUGUCUCCGUCUCUGUCUCGUCUGACAUUUUACGGGGCGGCAUGUGCAGAUCUUCCCUGAUUUUCAAAUCUUGCAGGUCUUUUCUUGCCUUCGGCCCAUCCUUGGUAUUAUCCUGCAUGUUCAUCAGUGUUGCAAGCAAGGUCUCAAGGAUAUUCUUACAGAUAUGCAUUUGAUCAAGGCAAUGAGGUGUAUCGAGUUUGUGCCAGUACUCCAAGUUCCAGAACACAGACCUCGUCUUCCAUACCUUCAGCAGUGGCUCCGGCGCCUUUCUCAUCGUCUUUCCCGGCGCGGGGCACUCCUUCCAGUUUUUCAACAGCUCAUCGAUUUCGGCACCGCUCCGCUUACAUGGAGGUCCUUGAUGCUCAGCGUGACCAUUGAAUAGAUCUCCACGGUUUCUCCACGGGUCGUCCUGUUCAAGCCAUCUUCGAUGCCCCAUGUACACGAUUUUCCCAGACCCGCCAUCUUUCCUUGACGUUAGCUGCUGAGACGUUGUAUCAUCCAUGCACCACGUGCAUCCGCAAUAUCCAUGGCACACCUGGCCUGCCACAUAUCCGUAACCAAGAUAGUCCUGCACUGUCGUGAUCAGCGCAGCUCUUAUGUUGAAAUACUCACCUUUGCUGGCGUCCCAUGUCUUGGCCGGUGUUUUCCAUAACGUGUCUAACUCCUCUUGAAGUAGCCCCAGAUACAAAUUAAUAUUAUUUCCUGGUUGUUUCGGCCCUUGAAUAAGCAUGCUCAUGUGAAUGUACUUUGAUUUCAUGCACAACCAGGGGGGAGGUUCUACAUCCACACAAACACGUGUCAUGUACUAUGGUUGGUGUUCUGGUUGCCAAACGGAUUCAUGCCAUCGGUAGACGCGCCGAGCACGAUGUUCCUUGCAUCACAUUCAAAAUACCGAUAGAAGCUGUUCAACGCUCUCCACUGGCUUCCAUCCUUCACGUGUCUCAGAUUCGGAUCAUCUCCAUCGUCGGGCUUCUUCCUCUCCACGUGCCAGCGCAUUAGCUUUGCUUCCUUGGGAUAUACAAAAUACCUCUGGAGACGGGGAGUGAUCGGUAUGUACCAUACAACUUUCUGGGGACAUUUCUUCCCGGCCUUCUUGUAUCGAGAAGCAUUGCACACCGGACAGCUUGUUUUUUUCGUGUGCUCCUUCCGAUAAAUUAUGCAAUCGUUGAUGCGUGCAUGGUGUCGUGGGGAAACGAGCAACUAUAGGGUAGGGCCCCUUUUCGGUCCGGCAGGGAGCAGAGGGCGCACAAAGAGCAGAUCGAGGUCGAGCACGCGAGGGAUUUUACCCAGCUUCGGAGCUCUCCGGAGAGAUAAAACUCCUACUGCUGCUUUGUGUUUCUAUUCUGUUCUUGCUCCAAAGUGUGGGUAUGAUGUGGUUUCGAAUGAGUCGAACCCCUUCUACAUGCGCAUGGGCCUCCUUUUUAUAGUCUAAAGGGGUCACCUACAGGUGGCAACGCAGAGAGAGGGGUAAAAAUGUAAAAACGCGGGUUGGUACAACCACUAUCAACAGUGCCCCUACCUAACUCUGACGGCAGGGGACAAGGGCAUUUAAUGCCCGUCCGGUCGUCCAAACAGUGCAGGAAGCGACCGUUAGGGGCGCCACCGAUCGCCACGAUGGCCUCCUUGUCAUCUCCAUCGCCACCUCGCACCGCUUGGCUGCACAGCUACCCGCCACGUAGACCAGGAGCGAUCCUGCAGCGACACGUCGUCGGGUGAGCUGGAGCGUGGGCGCAGAGUGGUGGCUUUGCCGCGGCAAGUGCCUUGCCGCAGUAUCUGUCUUCUCGCACCCGCAAGCUUGCCGCUCGUCGGGUCUUGCCGGGACGCGCGGUGCGUCGAGGCAAGUUUUCUGAACUGCCUUGGUUGGCCUUCCCAGCAAGCUCCUCUUGCCGGGGUCUUGUCCUUCCCGGCAAGCUUCUCUUGCCAGGGCCUUGUCUUCUCGGUUAAUACUUUGUUCUUGAAUGGCAGUAAUAUGAAUAGCGAAGGGUCUUGGCGGACGCCCGGCAAGCCUUGCCGCGGGACGCUGCGACUGCCCGUGCACAAGUUCGGGGUACUAAGAUACCCCUACUUUAGUACACCGACAGGAGCCCCCGGGCCUAGGCCAUACACGGUGCCGAGCGCUGUUGGGCUAGGCCCAAAACGGGGCACGGGCACGCGCGGCCUGGGUCCAAACCUAAUCCACUCCGUAUCCACCGCGUCCUCUCGUAACGGCACGCCUCAAUCGCGGCGUCGUGGGAGAGAUCGUGGGUAAUUUUUUAACUCAGGAAAUGCAUAACGUUCGCCUCCCCUGUUUAUAAGUAGAGGAAACAGGGCCGUUCCCCCACCUUUGCCACUUGCAGUUCCUUCCUCCGAAAGCUCCGCCGCUCCCCUCCGCUUCCCAAGCCGAAAGAGAGCAGCGCUCCGCCGCCCAUCGCCGCCGUCGCUCUCAACACCUCCGCGCUCCUCCGCCGCUUCUGCCAUGGCUCCGAAGACCGGCAAGACCGCGAAGUCGGCCGAGGCGUUGCGGCUUGAGGCGCUGCGCAAGGAGCGAGUGCUUUUCCCCCCUGAGCUCAGGUGAGGGCGCAACUUGACGAGGCAAAGAAGGCGUUCAUCCUGGAAAAGGCUGAAGCCGAGGAGCAACAGAGGCUCGCCGCCGAGGAGAUGUCCAGGCGGGAAGGUGAACUGACGCAGAAAAAGGUUAACCUGGACAGCCACGAGGAGGAGCUCGACGCACAAGAGCAGUCACUUGGCGGGGCGCUCAAGGAGGCAAAGGACGCUGCCGCAGCCGCCGAGGCCGCCAAUAAGGAGUUAGAGGAGAAAGUGGCGCAGCUGGAGGCGGAUAUGGGAAAGAAGAAUGAAGAGCUUGCCGCACUCCAGCGCGAGCGCGAGAAGGAUGCACUUGCCCAUGGCGAUCUGCAAGUUCAACUCGCCGAGAAGGCCAAGGAACUGAAUGCCGCCAAGGACUCAAGCGCUGAUCUGGGGAUGAAGCUGGCCACCUUGACGGAGACACUGGACGCCGUCAAGAGGCGAGAGGAUGGCUUGAAGAAGGAGAUCAAGGGCAACGAGGAGCUGCUGACGAGGGCCGCUGAGACCCAGAACACCUUCAGGGCUACGAUGGAGCUCUGGACAGAGGGCCUCGUCAACAUUCCUGCAUCUAUCGACGAGGAGCUGGCGGAGCUGGACUUGGCGGGCUUUGGGUACUCCUCCGACGAGAACCUUCAGCCCAGCGCCAAGCUUACUCUUUUCUUCAAGGGUGUGGUGACGGCACUCCUGUAGCUCCGGGAAAGGAUCCCGAAGAAGCUGGCCGACGAGUCGCGUGCAAUCUGCGCCAAGGUCUUCGAGAAGGUGUUGGUGAAGAUACUCUUCCGCAACCCGGGCCUCGACCUCUCCCGCGUCCUCAAGAAGCUCCCAUCGGGUGCUGAUCUUGAAGAGCUCAAAGCCAUCGUCACACCCAUCGUGGACAAGGUCAAUGAAGUCAGGAGGGUCGAUGGCGAGCGCGUGGAUUAGGCCACCCUUCUUCUCCCUUCCUUCCCCUUGCCGCUGCUAGAUAUGUCAUAGGAAUAAUUUCUUAGAGCGCGGCAAGUUAUUUAUUGUAAUAUAACUUUAUUCUGGGUACUAUCUGCUAUGUUACUUCCUUUAUUCGCUUCCAUUCCUUGUAUGUUUUUACCCUACGCUUUUAGGGAACUUGCCGGCGUGAACACGCUUGCCGCGAGCGCUGAGUGCGGAACAUCAGUAGCCUGCUGGUGGUUUUGCCUCCGGCAAGAAACCUUGUCGGGGCUAGUUGCAGCACACUUUCCUUGUUGAGCGGACUCGAAACAAAUUAAGGGUGCAACUUAGCCACGAGUCGAUUCCUCUGCGCACAGGUUUUCCAUACAAGGCACGGUCGUUCAAGGAAUGUAACUUAAAAAAUUUAAAACUGACUGUGCUCAAACUUUGGCAACUUAGCUUUUCUGUCGUCUGUGUCCGGCAAGGCUGUACUUCUUUGAAUGACGCCAUAUCCACUUCAUUAUCUUCUCCUUCUCGAAGCUUCUGGCGUUAACUUUGCGGCUAUGGUAGCGGCGCAAAGCUUGCUGGUAGCGAGCCGCUCGUACCGCAGCCUGAAGACGAUCUUCCUUGAGGAGCAGCGCGACAUCUUGCCGCAGCUGCUCUUGCUCUAGCUUCAUCAUAAGCGAGCACUCGAGGCGAUCCGUAUACGAGUCAUGUGGGGAGAACUAGGGGCCGAGAAUGUCGAGCCCCCAGACCGAAAAUGGCCAGGAUAAAGGGAUUGUUUGGAGAGCUUGAGCUGGUUGAUGAAUCUGUUUGGAGUGGAACUGGCACGCUUCACACUUGGUUACUUGUGCAGUUACAUCCUGGAGGGCUGUCGGCCAAAAGAAACCUUGCCGGAAAGCUUUGCCGGCAAGUGCUCUUGCGCCAAUGUGGUGACCACAUAUGCCUCCGUGUAUCUCCGCCAACAGCUCUUGUCCUUCUUCCUGGGAAAUGCACUUCAAUUUCACUCCGUUGAAUCUUCUUCUGUACAGUAUGUCAUCGACAAACUGGUACAUACUUGAUUGCCGGGCUACUUUCUCUGCUUCUUCUUGCUCUUCGGGAAGUUCUCCUGUUUGAAGGAAAUGGACUAUCUGCUCUGCCCAUGUCGGAGCUUGUGGCUCGACAACAAGGACUAAAGGCGCAAAUGCUGCUACGGGAGCAUCCGCUUCUACGGCAAGAAUCUGGGAUCCUGCCGGAGCGUGAUGCUCCCCGGCAAGCUCGCCGGAGCGAAACUUGUCGGGAGUGUCUGCUUCAACGAAACAUACCCUAGGGCUUGUCGGAGCAGACUGUUCCUCAGCACCUUCUGUGUUGAUCCUGCAGACCUUAUUGGCGGCGGCUCCGGGGAGCUCUGCCGGAAAGUAGUCGCCAGUAACCAACUUUCUCUUCUUGCAAUGUCCAGUUGAUGAUGUCACAGAUGGUUGAGUCAGCUUAAGCACAAAAAUCCCUGGUUCCACAGGCAACUUAAGUGCGGCGCAUUUUGACAGGCCAUCUGCAAUGUCAUUCUGAGCUCUUGGAACAUGUUCCAUCUGCAGGCCGUCAAACUGCUCUUCCAGCUUUCUCACUUCAUCAAUGUAUGCUUCCAUCAGCGGACUCUGAUAAUCUUUGUUUACUUGACAGAUGACAAGCUAUGAGUCACCCCUGACAAUAAGCUUCUUGAUCCCAAGUUCUGCCGCGAUCCUGAGUCCGGCAAGCAAGCCUUCAUAUUCUGCAGUAUUGUUUGUUGCUUGCUCCUUGGGAAAGUGCAUUUGGAUCACGUACUUGAGGUUCUCUCCGGUGGGUGCGACAAGUAGCACGCCCGCACCGGCGCCUUGCAGCGAGAAGGCACCAUCAAAGUACAUGAUCCACUCCUUAUUCGCUUCCUUGACGGGGAUGUUCUUCUCCGGAAUUUCUUCAUCAGGUGUUGGUGUCCAUUCUGCUAUGAAUUCUGCCAAUGCUCGGCUCUGGAUAGUUGAAGUACUUUCAAACUUGAGGCCAAAGCUUGAGAGUUCCAGUGCCCACUCGACAAUCCUGCCUGUUGCUUCUGGAUUUUGCAAUAUCCUCUUCAACGGAAAGCGAGUGACAACUGUGAUCUCAUGUGCUUGAAAAUAAUGGCGCAGCUUCCUCAAGGCCAUGAGAAGGCCGAAGAGCAACUUCUGCACACCAGAGUACCUUGACCUAGCCCCCUGCAGAAGGGAACUGACAAAGUAAACUGGGCGCUGCACCAUUUUCUUCUGUUUCUCUUCCGGCAACUGCAAAGAUCCAUCCUUGCCGGGACCAGAGCUUGUCUGGGAAGCCCCCUGCUUGUCGCUGGACUCGCUAGCUGUGGCUGCUGGCUCGUCAUCUGCCUCCCUCUCAGCUACUAACGCAGCACUAACCACUUGAUUGGUUGCCGCUAGAUACAGCAGCAACUUCUCUUGUGGUUUAGGUGCGACAAGUACUGGAGUGGAGGAUAGAUAUCUCUUCAAGUCCUAUAGUGCAGCUUCCGCUUCCGGAGUCCAUUUCAUUGGACCUACCUUUUUCAAAAUUUUGAAAAAUGGCUGGUAGCGCUCAGCAGACUUAGAAAUGAACCUACUGAGAGCAGCAACACAGCCGGCAAGCCUUCGCACAUCCUUGACGCGCUUCGGGGCUUCGAUUUGCUCGAUGGCCUUGAUCUUGUCGGGGUUGGCUUCAAUCCCCCUCUGGGACACAAAGAACCCGAGAAGCUUGCCGGAAGGAACUCCAAACACGCACUUCUCGGGGUUCAACUUGAGGUUGACCUUGCGCAGAUUUGCAAAAGUCUCUUCCAGAUCUUGAACCAAAGUUUCUCUCUCCUUGCUUUUGACCACUAUGUCAUCCAUGUAUGCUUCUACAUUCAUGUGCAGCUGUGGCUCAAAAGCAUGACUGACUACUCUUGCAAACGUUGAACCAGCAUUCUUUAGUCCGAAAGGCAUCCGUACAAAGCAGUACGUGCCACAUGGAGUAAUGAAUGCGGUUUUCUCUUCAUCCUCUUCUGCCAUGAAGAUCUGGUGGUAUCCUGAGUAUGCAUCAAGAAAUGAAAGCAGAUCACAUCCUGCCGUGGAGUCGACAAUCUGCUCAAUGCGCGGCAAGGGAAAUGGAUCUUUGGGACAAGCUUUAUUAACAUCCGUGAAGUCAAUACAAAGCCUCCACUUCCCAUUCGCGUUGCGCACGACUACUGGAUUUGCUAACCACGUUGGAUGGAGUACUCCUCAGACGAGGCCUGCUGCGUCCAACUUCUUGAUCUCUUCUGCAAUGAACUCCUGGUGUUCCAUCGCUUGCUUCCUGACUCUCUGCUUGACGGGCCGUGCGUGAGGACAGACGGCAAGGUGGUGCUCAAUUACUUUCCUGGGAACACCGGGGAUGUCAGAUGGUUGCCAUGCAAACACAUCGACAUUCGCCCGCAGGAAAGCAACGAGCGCGCUUUCCUAUUUAGUGUCAAGCGUGGCACUCAUGGUGAAGGUACCACCAGUGCCGUCCUCCUUGGCGGCCACUUUCUAUGUCUCUGGUGCAGCUGUCCUCGCCUUUUUGCACUUGCUGGUGGAGCUCGAUGGUGCGUCCUCGACGGUAGCGCAGCACUCCGAAGAGGUGCGCUUGCCGGAGUGGGCAUCAGAGCUACUCUUGCCGGACUUGGUCUUCUUCUUCUUCCCCCCGGGAGCUUCAGCGGCAAGUGGUUUGCGCUCUGCGGCGGCUGCUGCUUCCCGGUAGAUCUUGUCGGUACAGAUAAGUGCAUCCUUCUUGUAGCCUUGGACAGUAAUGACGCUUAUCGGACCAGGCAUCUUGAGCACAUUGUAGGCGAAGUGAGAGGCUGCCAUGAACUUGGCAAGUGCUGGACGGCCUAGUAUCCCGUUGUAGGGCAAUGGGAAAUCAGCAACGCCAAAUGUGACUCUCUCUGUCCUGAAAUUCAGCUCGCUGCCAAACGUCACUGGCAGUGUAAUCUUCCCCUUGGGCUUGCUCCUUCCCGGGUUGAUUCCUUGAAAGGUACCAGUUUCUUCGAGCUCGCUGUCGGGGAUCUGGAGCUUGUUGAGCACCGCAGAAGAGAUCAGAUUUAGGCCAGCCCCACCGUCAACCAACAUCUUUCUGACCUUGAGGUUGCGGAUAGUUGGCGAAACCAACAUCGGCAAACACCCGACCGCAGUGAUGCGAUCAGGGUGAUCCUCAACAUCAAAGACGAUGGGCGUGCUGGACCACUUCAGGGGUUUGCGCGACUCGACAGAUGGUUCUGCUGCAUUCACCUCCCGCACCCACUAUUUGAGUUGACGGUGCGAGGUGUGCAGAGAAGCACCGCCGUCAACGCAUAAAACCUUUGUUGCCUUCUGAAACUCUUGCUCGUCGGUCUCAUCCUCGUCCAUCUCAUCAUCCUCAUCUUCGUCUUCGUCCUUGUCGCGGCCACAGAGAGGUCUGUCUCCUUGCCGCUGCUUGGCCUUGCCGCGGCGCCCUCCCCGGACGAGACGCUUCUUGCCGGAUCCUCCGCCACCUUUCUGUAGCUCUGCCAUCUGCUCAACCUUCUUGCAUGCUUGGAGGUCAUGGCCCUUGGUGCGAUGGAUCUUGCAGUACUGCUUGCCGGAGCCGUCCUGCUUGUCGGCGGCCACCACAGCCUCGCCAGAGUCGCCAGCUGUGGCCUUCUCGGCGGCGCCUCCGUUGCCGGACUGCUCGACGACUAGCACAUCCUUAGCUUUCCUCUUUCUGUUAUUCCGCCUCCGGUUCUUCUUUGCCGGAGGGGCAUCCUCACUGUCAGACCCUUCUGCUCCUACAUUCUCUCCGGGGAGUUUCCUCCCCUCUUCAGCCCGUGCGCACUUGUCGGCCAGAGCAUAUAACUCGCUGACAGCUCUGAUUUUGCACAUCGCCAUCUCCUCCCUCAUCCUGCGGUUACGCACGUUCUGAUGGAACGCGCUGAUAACCGCGGCAGGGUGGACCUCUGGGAUGUUGCACUACACCUGGCUGAAUCUCUAUAUGUACUUGCGCAGGGGUUCUCCUUCCUUCUGGGCAAGCAAAUGAAGAUCGCUUUCCUGGCCAUGGGGCUUGUGGCCGCCUGUGAAGGCGCCGACAAACUGAUGGCACAGGUCCGCCCACGAAGAAAUGGAGUUGUCCGGCAAGUGCAUGAGCCAAGAUCUGACGUUGGGCUUGAGCACCAGCGGGAAGUAGUUGGCGAGGAUCUUCUCGUCGCGCCCCCCGGCAGCCUGCACCGCGAUGGUGUAGACGCUGAGGAACUCUGACGGAUGUAUCCGGCCAUCGUACUUCUCGGGUACGUCUGGCUUGAAUUUCUUGGUGCUGGGCCAUUGGACCUGCCGCAGCUCACGAGUGAACGCAGGGCAACCUACCGUGUACGGCAAGUCACCUGGUUCCCCUGGCACAUGCAUAUCAACAGUGGGCCCAGCGCGCUGGUCAGACUGACGUCGCGCUUCUCUCCGACGCUCGAUGCGAGUGCGAGCGUCUUCAUGUCGUCGUUCUUGAAGAACUUCGCGUUGAUCGCGGCGAGCUUGCGGGUCCGACGAUGCAGUGGAGUUGGUGUCGAGGUUGGCCCGACGAGUCGGCGAUCUUGGCCUUCGGGGCGGGGAGAGCACGGUGGUGGCACCCCAGCGGUCUUGUUUGCAUCGGCUUGCGCCUGGGCGUCUUGCCGGGGCUUCGAUGCGCUCGGUUGCCGGGGCUUAUCGCCGUUGGCGAAGCCGAUGAGGCUCUGUGUCGGUGUACUAAAGUAGGGGUACCUUAGUACCCCGAACUUGUGCACGGGUAGUUGCAGCACCCCGCGGCAAGGCUCGCCUAGCGCCCGCCAAGACCCUCCAUCCUUUCCACUUACUGCCAUUCAAGAACAAAGUAUCAACCAAGUGGACAAAGACCCGGCAACAGGAGCUUGCCGGGAAGAACAAGGCCCCGGCAAGAGGAGCUUGCCGGGAAGGCCAACCAAGGCGCCUCCAGAAGACUUGCCGCGACGCCCCACACGUCCCAGCAAGGCCCGACGACCGGCAAGCUUGCCGGCGCAACCAGAGAAGGGCCGCGGCAAGGCUGCCAUCCUGCACCCAAGCUCCAGCGCAUCCAACGACGUGUCACCCCAGGGCCAUCCCAGGAGCACGUGGCGAGGCGCUGUGCAGCCAUGCAAUGCGAGGUGGCAAGCGGAGCUGACAAGGAGGCCAUCAUGGCAAACGGUGGCGCACCUAACGGUCGUUUCCUUGCACUGUUGGGGCGACCAGAUGGGCAUUAAAUGCCUUUGUCCCUUGCCGUCAGAGUUAGGUAGGGGACACUGUUGAACACUGUUGUACCAACCUGCGUAUUUACUCUUUAACCCCCUCUUCCUACGCUGCCACCUGUCGGUAACCCCCUUAGACUAUAAAAGGGAGGCCCAUGCGCACGUAGAAGGAGUUUGGUCCAUUCGACACAUCCAGCACCACUAGAUGCUCGCGCUCUCGAGCAGGAACAAAUACAACACAAAGCAGCAGUAUGAGUUUUAUCUCUCCGGAGAGCUCCGAAGCUGGGUAAAAUCCCCCCGCGUGUGUGACCUCGAUCUGCUCUUCGUGCGGCCCUCGCCCCCCUGCCGGACCAGAAGGGGCCCCCUGCCCCAUAGGUGCUCGUCCCCAGACACGACAUGUUUGGCGCGCCAGGUAGGGGGCGUCGAGGUUGUGCGAACCUGAUCCGGUCUCCGCGCGCGCUACAUCAGCAUCUUCGUCAACAUGCCAUCGAAGAAGAAGGCUUUGGAGGUAGCCGCUCCGUCUGCGACUGUCCUAUCGCCACUGGAGCAAAUGGGCGGUGGGGCGGACGCCGGCGGAGGAGCGGGCGCCGGUGGCGGCACUCACGUCGUCGCCAGGUCCAAAGACUAGGCCCCGCAGGCUUCAACGUCUGGAUAUCCACCGCGCCCCUCUCAGGAGGUGCAAGAUCAACAAUGCCACGGUGCCCCUAGCACCGUGCUUGCAUUUGAACAAGGCCAAGCUGGUGGGUCGCGGGGCGUUCAAGACCAGCGUGCAAGCCAGCAUGCUGGCGCGAGUGAAGUACGGUCGCCCGGACGGGGUGUUGCUCCUUCCAAUCCAAUUGGGAGUCUGAGCACGUCCCGCUCCUCGCGCCGCUCGUCGCCACCGCCACCCAAGACUGCAGAGGAAGCGCUGGCCCAAGCCCAGCUGCUCCUGGACUACCCUCCGGCGCCACACAAGAUUGACGACUGGAGGAUGACCAUUUAUAGCCUCAUCGGCUUCGCCAACGGCGACAAGCCCCGGCAACCGAGCGCAUCGAAGCCCCGGCAAGGCGCCGAGGCGCAAGCCGACGCCGACAAGACUGCUGGGGGUGCCGUUACCAUGCACUCCCCGCCCCGAGGGCCGAGGUCGCCCACUUGCCGGGUCAACCCCGACGCCGACUCCACUACAUCGUCGGACCCGCGAACUCGCCGUGACCAACGCCAAGUUCUCCAAGAACGACGACACGAAGAUGCUCGUACCCGCAUCGAGCGCAGAAGAGAAGCGCGACGUCAAUCUGACCAGCGCGCUGGGCCCACUGUCGACAUGCACGCGCCGGGGGAACCAGGCGACUUGCCGUACGCGGCAGGUUGCCCUUCGUUCACCCGUGAGCUGCGGCAAGUCCAGUGGCCCCGCACCAAGAACUUCAAGUCAGACGUGCCCGAGAAGUACGAUGGCAGGAUACAUCCGUCGGAGUUCCUCAGCGUCUACACCAUCACGGUGCAGGCUGCAGGGGGGCGAGACGAGAAGAUCCUCGCCAACUACUUCCCGCUGGUGCUCAAGCCCAACGUCAGAUCUUGGCUCAUGCACUUGCCGGACAGCUCCAUCUCUUCGUGGGCGGACCUGUGUCACCAGUUUGUCGGCGCCUUCACAGGCGGCCACAAACCACAUGGCCAGGAGAGCGACUUGCAUCUGCUCGUCCAGAAGGAGGGAGAACCUCUGCGCAAAUACAUACAGAGAUUCAGCCAGGUGCAACCCAACAUCCCAGAUGUCCACCCCGCCGCGGUUAUCAGCGCGUUCCAUCAGAACGUACGCAACCGCAGGAUGAGGGAGGAGAUGGCGAUGUGCAAGAUUCGAGAUGUCAGCGAGCUAUAUGCUCUUGCAGACAAAUGUGCACGGGCUGAGGAGGGGAGGAAAAUCCCCGGAGAGACUACAGGGGCAGAAGGAUCUGACAGUGAGGAGGACACCGCUCCGGCAAGAAGGAACCGGAGGCGAAACAACAGAAAGAGAAAGGCUAAGGAUGUGCUAGUCGUUGAGCAGUCCGGCAAUGAAGGCUCCGGCAAGGCCAAACCCAGCGACUCCGGCGAGGCUGUGGUGGCCGCCGACAAGCAGGACGGCUCCGGCAAGCAAUAUUGCAAGAUCCAUCGCACCAAGGGCCAUGACCUCCAAGCAUGCAAGAAAGUCGAGCAGAUGGCGGAGCUACAGAGAGCUGAAUACGAGCGCCGCGACAAGGAGAAGGCCCAGAAAGGUGGCGGAGGAUCCGGCAAGAAGCUUCCCGCCCAGGGAGGGCGCCGCGGCAAGCCCAAGCAGCGGCAAGGAGACAGACCUCCCCGGGGCCGUGAUAAGGAUGAAGAAGAAGAUGAAGAUGAUGAGAUGGAGGAAGAUGAGACUGAUGACCAAGAGUUUCAGAAGGCAACGGAGGUUUUGUGCGUUGACGGCGGUGCUUCUCUGCACACCUCACACCGUCAACUCAAACAGUGGGUGCGGGAGGUGAACGCAACAGAACCAUCAGUCGAAGCGCGCAAGCCCCUGAAGUGGUCCAGCACGCCCAUCGUCUUUGACGUUGAGGAUCACCCUGAUCGCAUCACUGCGGUCGGGUGCUUGCCGAUGUUGGUUUCACCAACCAUCCGCAACCUCAAGCUGUCAGGACCCCGACUCAAUGUCACAUCGAUCUAGCCUGUAACACAUCACAUCACUUUGCGGCCUCACGCACGGUAUCCCAACGGUGUCGCCUUACCAUAGCCCGGGACCGUUUGCGCCUUUUGGCACGCGUAUAUGAUAGUGUCACUAGCAUCCAUAUGAAAAGGAGCCCGGGCUGACAUGGCUAGUCGUAAACCCAAAGUGGCACAGACUUACAGGGACAGGCAUCCAUGACCCAGCAUCGAACGUGUCGAUCAUCAGCGAGUAAGUUCCGGGCUGUAGCACUGGGCUAGCAGGACUCCGGUGAACCGGGCUGUAGCGGGCUAACAGGACUCCGGUACUCAACGCGUGACAUUUCCCCGAAGGGACAGACACAGGAACGAUGAAGGACACAUGCUGGCCAGCCUAAGUGUUCCGGAGCAGUAGCAAGCUACCAUGGCUCAGUGGAAACACUAGGAGACAUUUCCCGGUAAGAGAGGCUACUAAAGAUAAACAACUAGAUAGUCAGAUCCCACACAUACCAAGCAUUUCAAUCAUACACACAAUAUGCCCGAUAUGUGCAAAUACAACAUGGCAUCACAACAUGACUCUACGACUCAAGUAUUUAUUCAUUAGGCUCCGAGGAGCGAGAUAUUACAAAUAGGGGUCUCAUGACCCAACAUUCAGAGCAUACAAAUCAGGCACAAGCGGAAGCUAAUAUGCCUGAGUACAGGCAUCUACAAAUGAAAAAGGCUUGAAAGCCUGACUAUCUACCAGAUCCUGCCGGGGGCACAAGAUCGUAGCUGAGGUAACAAGCUAAACGUCGAAGUCCACGUGGAACUACUAGCGAGACUGAAGUCUCUCUGCAAAAACAUAAAAUAGGCAAACGUGAGUACAAAUGUACCCAGCAAGACUUACAUCAGAACUAACUACAUAUGCAUCAUUAUCAAUAAAGGGGAUGGUGGAGUUUAACAGCGGCAAGCCAGCUUUGACUCGGUGGCUAUCCUAAACUACGACUGCAAGUAACUCUUUUGAGGUGGCGCACACGAGUCCACAUAUUCACCAUAUCAAUACACCACUAUGGAUCCACUCCGUCUCCCUACGAGAACGCCAUCCAUAGCACUCACACUUAUCUUGCGUAUUUUAGAGUAUCCACUUUCACUUGUCUAUGAACUGUACAGGCAACCCAGAAGUCCUUUUCCGUGGACACGGCUAUUCGAAUAGAUGAUGUUAACCCUGCAGGGGUGUACUUCUUCACACAGGCUCUCACCACUUACCGCCGUUUACACGACAUGUACUCGGCAACCUUCAAGCGGAAGCCCAACGUGGGUGUCGGCCACGGCCUACCUAAACACUCAAGUCCCUAGUCCAGGUUUAUCGCCUAUUUGGGUUCCAUCUAUGAGGAGUUCCGGCCGAAGUUUCGCUCACAGCCCCAAACGAUGUGAACAGGGUUCCCGAGACACCAAACGGGCGCCCGGUUUACCCGGCCACGUGCCUACCGCAUCACAGCCCACCCCUACGGUCAGCACUGCGCACGGCCUCCAGCAUACUACAAAC